UUUUUUUUUUUUUUUUUUUUUGCUAUUUAUAACCAUUCUUCAUGAAAAUAAAAUCUUAAGAAAGCGAAUGGACUAUUUUGUUUGAUAAUUUUAAUUCCUUUUGUAAUUAGGCUAAUGAAAAAAGAAAAACUUACCUCAAUUAUGGAACACUAGAACUACAUAGAAACAAUUAUAAAUGUGGCUGAUUAUUUGUCUUAGCCUUGAAAUUUCUUUAAAGAAAAUAGCCUUGAAAUUGUUUCUUUCUCAAUUUCAUUGUCCAUCUCUUUCUACAUUUCAAAAUAUUUCUGUCUCUAGUCUCCCAAAUUAUUAAUCUAUCUCUCUUAAUCUCUUUAACUCCCAAUUUCUCUCUUUAUUUUCCAGAUUUUCUAUCAAUCUUUAUUCGUAAUCUUAUUUUAUCUCUCUUUCGCAUUUCUAUUUUCCAAUGUUAUCAAUCAUCAAUGAAGUGGUUCUACGACGAUGGCUUUACCAAACAUUUUCCUUUUAUCAGUUAUCAACGAAAAUUGCCCUUUGAUGGUUUUAUCAAUUAUCAAUCAAGCGGUUCCUUGAUUUAGAUAUCUCACCUUCUUUGCUGAUUGUGAAGUAACUUCUCAUGACGAUGGUUGUAACAAAUAAGAGAAGAAAUUGAGAGAGGGGCAAAGGGGGGGAGACAAAAGGAACUCUAGUUUAACAAAAGAAAAAUUAAUUAUCUAUCAAAUCACCAUAUCUACAUAGUUGACUAACGGUCAAUCGUUAAAAAUAACUAUUUUGCAAAUUUGGAAGACUAAAAAUUGUAUUGCAUUUUUACCUAAUAGUCAGGUAUCUUACAAGAGGUAUGAGUCCUAGUUUUUUCAACUCUCAACAUCUCACCAACUUGACAGCCACUUUGGGCGAUUGGAGUUCUAGCAACAUCAAACUUAUUUGGCUUCAGAUUUUUAUGGAAUUGAUACUGAUUUGGCUAGAUCCUUUUUAGCGAACAACAAUUUAUCUGAUUUGGGUACUUUUUGACUAAUACGUUUUCUUCUUAUUAAUGUAAAUAAAGUAGGCUUAGUUAUUUUGGGUAAUGAUGUUAAUGUAAAUAAAGUAGGCUUAGUUUAUUUGGGUAAUUACCCUUGUAUAAAUACACUCCCUUUGGUCAAUAAACAUAUUAAGAGAAUAUUCUUCAGAAUAUACUUUCACAUGAUACCAGAGCUAGGGUUUUCAUCUUAGCCGCCGCCGCCGCCGCCGCCCACCCGUGAAAGUCUCCGUCUCCGUCAUCCUCAUCGCGCCUCGCAGUCGUUCCGUCAUCGUCAUCCUCAUCGCGCCUCGCGUCUCGCAGACAGCUCCGAUCUGUCUCCAGCCCUUCCGCGCGCCUCGCAGACAGCUCCGAUCUGUCUCCAGCCAUUCCACCACAACAUCGGCGUCGCGCCGAUCAGUCGCAGCCUCGGCAUCGCAGGUGGCCGUUUCCGCUCCGAUUCGUCUCCAUCCGCGAGGCAGCCGCGCCGUUUCCGCUCCGAUUCGUCUCCAUUCGCGAGGCAGCCGUACGCGUCACCUUGCGGCCGCCGUCCAGAUCUGUACCGCAAGACCUUCCGCCGCUGCCGCCAUUGCUCUUCCGCCGCUGUCCAGCCGUCUCAGCCGGUUCUGUCUCCGUUGAAGCCAAGGCCGCCGCGUGAACUGACGAAUCCUUCAGCCGUUUGUCUUCAGAUCUGACGAAUCUUUCAGCCGUUUGUCUUCAAGUUUUUUUUUUUUGUUUGUCUCCGUUCCCAGCCGUGCACCCCUGAAUCCAGUCGCCGCAACCCAGCCGUGCACCCCUGAAUCCAGUCGCCAAAUACAGUGAAACCCAUAUCUGACAAAUCCAGUCACGAAUCAGUCAAAACUCGGCCGAAAAUCCGCAUUGUUAACCCCAAAUCAAAAUGGAGAGAGACCAUAUCUUUAGACCCAUUUCUACCAUACUUGAUGGUACAAAUUAUAUCACAUGGGCAAAUCAAAUGAAAAGUUUUCUUAUUGGAAGAAAACUAUGGCGCAUUGUAACUGGCGACAUCACCAAACCAACUGCAAAGGAAGGGGAUAACACAUUCAUUGAACGUCUCGAAGAUUGGGACAGUAAAAAUCAUCAAAUUAUCACCUGGCUUGGUAACACCUCUAUUCCCGCUAUACAUGCACAGUUUGAUGCCUUUGAUGAUGCUAAAAUAUUAUGGGAUUUUUUGUCUACACGCUUCAAGUCUAUUGGUUUAGCCCAUUAUUACCAACUGCACAGUACACUUGUAAAUCUAAAUCAAGAUUCUGGUCAGUCUGUUAAUGAAUAUUUGGCAGUUCUUCAACCCAUUUGGACUCAACUUGACCAAGCGAACAUCAGCAAAGAUCAUCUUCGCCUUAUUAAAGUCCUUAUGGGAUUACGUCCAGAAUAUGAAUCUGUUAGAGCUGCUUUACUACACCGGAAUCCCUUACCCUCAUUAGAUGCAGCUAUUCAAGAAAUUCUGUUUGAAGAAAAGCGUCUUGGCAUCAACUCUACUAAACAAUCUGAUGUUGUCCUUGCUAGCACAUACACUCCCAACAGAGCCGCAAAUAUGUUUUGUAAGAAUUGUAAGCUCUCUGGUCACAAAUUUAGUAACUGUCCUAAAAUAGAGUGCAGGUACUGCCAUAAACAUGGCCACAUUCUGGAUAACUAAGCCUACUUUAUUUACAUUAAUAAAUUAAUGUAAAUAAAGUAGGCUUAGUUAUUUUGGGUAAUGAUGUUAAUGUAAAUAAAGUAGGCUUAGUUUAUUUGGGUAAUUAGCCUUGUAUAAAUACACUCCCUUUGGUCAAUAAACAUAUUAAGAGAAUAUUCUUCGGAAUAUACUUUCACACUUCUAAUGUGAACAUGUAUUAUCUUCCCCUUAAGCUUUUAGUUUCUAGCUGACAUGAUGAUGUUUGCGUUUCAUGGCUAAUGUUGUUUCAUAGAGGCCCUAUUUUCAAUUCGCAUGCUCUGCAAUAUCUCAUCAUAGUUUUAAUUUCUAAAAUUGGAGAGUAGCUACGCACCAUUUUAUCCAUAUUUUUUAUAGUUCAAUUAUAUAGUUUCGUUAGGCCAAUAUUCAUAUUAUAUAGACUAUAAUUGGUAGUAACACAACCACCUUUUUAGCAUCUCGCACAAUGGAAAUCUGCAUCAUCAAACAUCUGCUUUUUAAUUACUAACUAUAAAGUUCGAGGUAAACAUUGACUCCUAUAUACUAUAUUAUUCAGAUAUAUUUAACCCUAUAUGGAAAGAUUCCUGUGAACUAGAUCUUUCCAGAAUAUAUGCUUUAUCUAACCAUCUAGAAGUAUAGAAAGGGGUCACAAAUGCCGACCACACACGUAAACACUACUAAAAAUCUAUUAUUAUACUCUAGGCUUAACAAGAAUCGUUUUCUUCAUAUUGAACUCUGUUGCUAGAUGGCUUGCCAAUUUGUAAGCAUCCAAUUGGAGGUGAAGUAGGAGUUCUCAAUUCUCCAAAAGUUUGCCAGCAGAAAGGAUCAUAUAAGUGAUAGCGCUCUUGUAGUGGUUUUAGCUCUAUAGUAGUCAGUGUUACAUCUGUACAUGGUAGGUUGUCGCUACAGGCAAAGUGUACAGGCUUGACUGUGUAAGUUCCUCUGAUUCUUUCAUAAUUGAUUCCUGAUAGAGCCACGGCUGAAGUCUGGUUGCUGCAUUUGGCUUUAUCACAAUAAAAUUGGUCAAUCACAAUUGGCAAUUGAACUUCAGACAUUUGAAUGUUUGAGAAGAGAACGUUUUGAACAGAGCCGGAUCCACCCUGUAAAGAUAUCAUUUGACAUUCUAUCAAUACUCAAGGAUAUUCAAUUCUUAACAUUAUAGAUGACAUGUGGGGACUCCCAAAUUUGAAAAAGUACGACCAUCCAUGGACGGUGGUUAAUUAAGAAUUUGUUAAGAUAUUUGAUUUUAGCAUAUGAGUAUCAAGAGGACAUCCAAAUUGAAACUAUAACAAAUUGAAGGGUUGACAAUAUUGGCCUAUACAGUUUUUCUUUUUUGUUAUGAUCUAUUAUUAGAGCUUGUUCAUUUUUGAGCGACAUGUUUUCCUUUAAAUAGAAGUACCUGCCAUGUUUUGAUUCUAACGCCGUUCAUCGUGUCAUGCAUUGUGACAUCUCGAACUGUUAUAUUUGAAACACAAGCUUUAGUAUGAUCCUUUCCUAGACUUCCAAUGCUGAUUCCAUGUCCUGGCCCACAGUUCACAUUGUGUAUGUAUAUGUUUGAGCAUCCGGUUUGAAUGGAAACACAAUCAUCUCCUGAAAUGAUCAGACUAAAUAUUAUCAGUCACAUGUUUAGUUCAACUUCCAACUUUUAUCUAAAGAUUUUCUCAUGUGCUGAAUAGUGUGGUUGGGGUCAUACCAAUGGGGCUGAAUAGUGUGGUUGGGGUCAUACCAUGGAAAGGGGAAUUAUUGAAUCAAAGAGAAAAGGAGAGUCUGGAUUAACUUUAGGAUCUAUCUGAUGACAUUAUUCAAUAUGAAGAUCCUAUGUCAGCACAACCAGACACAAGGAGGAGGGAUAGAAACAAGUUACGUGCCCAUAGAGACAAUAAAAAUUGGGCGAUGCAAACAAAAUAAGCAUUAUGGACACGGAACAUAUGAUUGUAGUUCAACUUCGAAUGGUUGCGAAUUCCUGUAGUGAAAGACUCAAGUCUCUUGACAAGAUAAGGUUGCAUGUGUUCAGGACCCUCCACAUUUAACGCAAAUAUUUAUAAUUUUAUCCAUCAAAUUAUCCUGUUAAGUGGCCAUGGUGAUUGAAUGUUGACUACUGAGUUUGUCUCAACUCUCGAGAGUUAAGUCGUGCUCACUGUUAACCAUUUAAGUAGAUAAUAUUUAAUAACAGGAUCAGUUGAUUAGAAGUGACGUAAUUACCACAAGAUAGACUGGUGCUAUGGAUUAGAACGUCUUUGGAGUUUUGCAAGUGAAUUCCAUCAGUAUUGAGACUGUCUCCAGGAGAUGAGACGCUGAUAUCAUGCACCAGGACUCCCACACAGUUGUCAAACUUGAGGUGGCAUUGGGGACUGUUUUGGAUUGUUAUGCCCGUGACCGUGGCAUUGAAGCUUCCAUAAAACCUAAGUGCCUGUGUAACAUAACAUUUCAAUAAUUCUACAGGAUGAGAAUGAUAAUGGCCAUCAUGAAUUCAAAUCAUCUUAGAAGUUUUUAAGCAAGCGAUUCUUACAGUUGGCUUGAUACUUGGCAUUUUCCCUUCUAGAUUGCUUCCUAUCUGCCAAAUAUUUUAGGAGUGAACUACGAUCAUUUCCCUUUUCCAUUUUACAAUAGAUCAAAACUAGAUAUAUUGAGGAAGAAAACCAUACUAUAGAAUGGUAUUCAUUACCGGCGUUGGUUUUGUUUCAUUUAUGGUAUUGUUUACGGGUAUAAUGAGUUUCAUCUCAUCGUCUAUGGGCUCAUCAAAAGAAGAAUCUUGCCACCAAACGGAUCCUCUUCCGUCAAUUAUGCCAUUUCCUCGUAUGGUAAUCCCUACCAGCUUUGUAAAUUGGAUCCAUUGUAAGAGUCCUUUCCCCCAGGUUUGGUGGUCAGUGGGUGCGAUAAUUGUUCCAUCCAGCUGCAAAUUAAGUUUAAUUAGAUUGUACAAUAGCAGAGGGGGGAUUGAAAGUUUCUCUAACUAGGUUGUUUAUGCCCAUUUAAUAACCAUUUGGUUUUUUCAAUUGUGUUUAUGUUUUUGCAAUUUCUUCUUUGUCAUGGUUUUCAUAUUUGGAAGUAACAGUUUGAAUUUGUAUCCAAAUUCUAAAAGUAAAGAUAACUGUUUUUCCCCCCCAUGCUGUAAGAAAAUAUAAAUUAUAAAAGAAGAAAGAAAUAAAAGACACUUUUAUUAGAGAUGAGUAAAAGAUGCUUUUGUGGGGAAACCGAGCUUGUGGAUUCGAUAAUGUUUACCUGAAAUAUAAUGUCUGGCUGGCAAUAUGGGCCAGAGAAAGAAAUGGGUCCUACGAAGAACACGUAAUCUGCCGGAACCAUGACCGUCGAUCCCUCAACCUUACACGCUUCCGCCCAGGCGUCUUCAAAUGCCUGAAAUGGAUGAUACAAGUUUCAAAAACCAGCGUUUGAUGGUUUCUUAUUGGUUCUGCCCAAGCCCACAUUACCUUAUCAUUGUUUCAAGAAAACUGCCAUAACUAAAUUAUUUUCUAUUCUUAUCUGUGGGUCCCGCCUUCCCUGGUACUUGGUCCUCAAGUCCGCCUUACCACCACCUACCUUUUCUUUUUCUAUGUAUAUCUACAGUUUUCUACACAACAUGUUAAUGGGUAGUAGAAAAUUAUUAAGAAAUGUUACAGUUUUCAUGCUCUACCGUAUACUAAUGUUUAAGUCAAUUUGGAGAUAAAUUAAGAAGACCUAAAAUAUUAGAUUCUCAUGUUUACUAUUAUUUGUUAGUCUUGCUGCCAUUAUCUUGAUUUUGCUUAUUCCUUCACAAUAGCUGCACUUUGUCCCUUGUGAGUUAUUCCAAAAGUAAACAAAAAAGGGGGUGAUUUAAGCUGGUCUUUCAACAAAAAGGAUGAUCAAUGCAACUGUUAUUACUUUCUUUACCAAGUUUCCUCAUAAUAUUAUUUUUAGCACCAAAGUUUGUCCAUUUUCAGGUAUGUAAGAUAUGUGCUUGAAGUUUCUGAAAGUUACAACUACUCAACAAGCAAUAUAAAUUUAUUUGUUUGUACAGUUGUUGGAAGCUUAUUCUUUUUCAAUGACUCGAAUCAUUGUAUAGUAGGAAAAAAGGUUGAAUAUGGGGAGAAUUGAAGGUACCUUAGUGUCAUCAGUCUCUCCAUUGCCUUUAGCACCAAAAUCUAGAACGUUGAAUAUGGCAGAAUCACCAGCACUGGGGCCUUUCUUGGGUGGAGUUUGAACGAUCUCUUCUUUUGGUUUAGGAGGAAGUGGAGAUGGAGGGGCACCAGAAUGGUGAUUCUUGCUACCGCCAUGACUGCCUUUCUUUUUGGAUAGAGAAGCAGAGGCAUCCCUGUUCUGUCUCCAGUGUUUUCCUCUCCUUGCAAUGCAGGCUUCAAAGUUUGAAGACCAAACGAGGAAAGCAAUAAAAACCACAAGUGUUAAGCUUUUGGAACUCAUUUUCAGUGGCAAUGUGGAGAGAGAGAAAGAGCUAAGUGUGUUUGACAUUGCCAAAGCAAGUGGAUGCUGAAGCGCGGUUAAAUAGGUAGAGACUCUAAAAGUUUCAGGAGACUGUGCAGACAAAUGCUAACAAACAUACUAUUUUGAUAAUGUCCUGAGGCAUAUUUAUUUUUUUCAUUCCCAAUCUCCCUGUUUUUCCUGCUCUCUUUUAUUAAUUAGGAAGCUUUCUUUUUUGUGAAUUCUGGUAGGAAUUGUUUAGCUGAAAAACAGCGACAUAGCGUUUUGGCCACAUGUUGAUAUGUCAUUGCAUGUGACUCAUCCAGUUGCCUCUUAAAAACUCAUCUUAAAUCACUCAUCUACCAUCAUCUACGUAUGCUCCCCUCACCCUUACUCUCUAUUCCCUCUUCUUUGCCUCAUUUGAAUGUGGACCUGCUAAUUCAUUCAUUUGUUAUUAUUAUUUAUAAAAUAAAAAAUUACUUAUAUAUAUAUAUAUAUAUAUAUAUAUAUAUAUACAUAUCGUUUCUCACUCAGAAUUAUUUAUAAAUUUGCCUUUUCUUACAUCACAAGAACACCACAAAAUCUUUCUGUCCUGUAAUUUUGUAUACAUUUUUACUACAUUUAUUUACCUCCAAAUGUGAAGAUUGAGAAAUGGAAAUGAAGCAAAUUUUGUUCAUCUUUGUUUGUGUUGGGCUAUGUUUUCGGGGUUCAAUCAUUUGUAUGGUUAAGAAGCGAAGUUGUGAAUAUUAUUUUAGUAGGUGAUGUAAAAGCAAAAAAGACACACGUGAGUAGUGGGUCUACAAGGUAUCGAGGUCAGGCCAGCGCUGAAUAUAACAGCAGCUCUUUUUGGUCACAUGCAAUCUUCACGGGCCUAAUCUUCUCAUUUCUUCUUUCCUUUUUUUUUUCCCUUCCAUUAACUACAAACAUACAAAACCCCUCUGUUUGCUUGGAUUUGCUAUUUCCCUCCUCUUACAAUAGGCACUUCAAUUCAUCUCUUAUCAUUACAUUUUCUUUUUUUCAGAAGAAAAAAAAAAGGAUGAAGAAAGAAUCAAGUAAAAGAAAAGCUUUAAAUUUACGGUUCCCACGACAAACUGGUUCUUCGUUUCAACUAUUUUGGUGCUGUUUUGGCACUGUGUUUGUAAUUCUUAUCUUAUCAGUUUAUACUUUAAUUUAUUAAAAACGUACAAAAAUGAUAAAGGAGUGAAGAUAGAUAGAAAGCAACCCAUCAAAAACUUCUUUCAUCACCUCCCAAAAAUAAAGUUAGCGCCCAUUGUUUUCCGUCAAUAAUGUUUUUCUUUUUUUGAAAAAAGAAACCAGAAAAACGACUGUACCAGGCUACCAAUAAUUAAAUCGCAUAGUUAACACGUACACUAACUUAUUAUCAAAUACCACUAUCAGACUUCACGUGUGUAAUCCUAUACCAAAAUAUUUACAAUAACAACAAUACAGAAUUAGAAAAAGAAGAAACUAAAUCAAAGAUGACACGAAUCCAUUGGUUACAAGAUAAAAGGCAUAGGCAGUUCCUUUUUCUUUUACUAUGUAUUCAAGUUUAAUAACCAUGGAAGAUUUGAGCCUUUUAUUUCAAAAUCUGGAAAUGGACAUUGCGUCUCUCUGAUCAUGAGUGGUUUGGUCUGUGCUUUGAAUAAAUGAGUUCAUUCUUUUCCUUGAGAAAAAUAGGUUUUAGGAGGAUGAUAAUAUGAAGGUAUAAAGGACCUUUUUUUUUCUUCCUUUCAUCCUUUUAGUGUAGCGUAGAUAACAUCAAAUAUAAUUGUAGAAGAGUACAAAUGCCAUGUGAUUAUAGAGAGAGAUUAUAUAUAAUUGCAAUAGAAGUAACUGCAGGAAGGUCCCCACACCUAGGGAGAGAAAAUCUGACUGAAAACUCUCUUCAUUUAAUUAUACUUAAAAAACCUAAUACAUUACUACUUUUGAGUCGUUAUGAUGAAGUAAUAUGAUGAUAAAUUCCAAUAAAAUGGUUCUGACAGCGAUGGGAAUGCUGUAGAGUGCUAAAGCACGAGAAAGAAAGAGAGAAUUUAUUUAUUUUUCUCUUGAAAUGAAUUUUGGAAAAAGUGGAAUACAUAAAAAUACAAGUCGUUUAGGGAGUGAGAGAUUAUAUAAGAUGUGUGUGGCUGUUGAGGGCUCCCUUCCCCUUGAAAAUUUGAAUCAGACCAAAGCCACAACUUUUGUAAAUACCUAUCCAGAGAGGAUUUAACCGGAAGGCGAGGGUAGCUUUUAACGUCUUCCACCUGUCAUUUUCCGUCGUAAUUGCUCACCAAGCAAACAGAAUCUCCAUCUCCCUUCCCAUUUAAUUCACAAUGGACACCGAUACUCUUUUUUUUUAAUAUAUAAAAAUAAAUUGUCCAUAUUAUAUCAAAACUGCUGUUGUGGUUGCUGGAUCAUCUUCGUCUUCUUCAUUGGCUCACCAUCCAACAUUCUCACUGCAAACAACAGACAACCAAACACUAUAACCGACGCCAACGUUCCUCCCCCUGCCUCUGCCUCUGUCAUCCAAUCAAAUUCCACUGCAUUAUGCCACCACUAACUCCACUCUCAUUCCUUUUCAAACUAUUGCUUCAUCAAACUGAAAAUAAACAAUGUUGGAUAACAUCAUGAAUCCUUCAAUUGACAAAAUUCAAAGUGGAGAUUCACCCAUCAGUAAGCACAAUAAUGACACAAAAAUGAUUUUAAUGCUCAAUAUUCUUAUGGUAACCUUUGGAGCAGACAAUUCAAAAUGUACCUAAUAUAUGUAAUAUAUAUUUUGUUGUGUUGUUGAUUGAUUGGUUGAUUUAAAAGGCCCCCCCUUGUAUGUACGAGCACCCAGAAGAAAGGAGAAAAAAAGGAAAAACAAAUUUAUUAUUUGAGCCGUCUUUUUGUGCGCGUGAACUUUGGUUUGCAGGUGUUCUCCCGUGAACUCAUUUAAUUAAUAGAUAUAAUAUAACUUUAAAUAAUUCUAGCUUCCAUUGUUUUCUUCUGCUUUAUUUUUUUAAUUUAUUAAUUAUGAAUGAAAUGGCCAACAUCACCAAUCGAGAAACCAUAACUCUUCAGGCAAAUCAGCUGCACAUAUACAAUCAAUCCAUUUUUAAACAUACAUUUAUCUCCGUGCAUUUCACUCCUCCUCACAUUCACACAAAAUAGUAAAUAAAUAUUCAAACACAGAUCACUUGCCAAAUUACCAUUAAACAAUUCAAUAGGAUCCACCCAAUAUAUUGUAGCCACCUAACUAUUUUGCUUUCAUUUUCCCCAUUAUACCCAGAAACCAUGGUGUGUGGUGUGGUGAUUCUGGUGAUGUGUUCGGUUAGGUUCACCAAAUCACAUUUUUGGACAUAAAAAAUAAUAAUAAACAAUAAAAUAAAAUACAAACUGACCCAACUACCUGCUCACCUAUAAACAAUUGCACAUUCCAGAUGGCAAAAUUUCAUGAAUAUAUUCUGUUGUUUCUGUAAUUUGAUUUUUUAAAGUGGGUUUUAGAGAGAUCUCAAAAAUUGCUCCUUUAGGAACAAGGGUGUUCACGGAUCAUUCUAGAAUUUGAAGUCAGGACAAACCAAACACAAAAGUUUUGUCCAUAUCAUUCACGAAGAAUAAAGUAACUGAUAUGGAAAAAUUCCCACCUUUUGAGGUUUUUACGGUUGUGGCUGAGGCUGGACUGCUGCUCCAGCGCCAAUUCCGUCUUCUCUGUGGCUAUUAAGUGCGAAUUUACAUUUCGGCCAAACCUUUGUCCUGCACGUGAAUUCUUCAGCUAUAUGAUCUUUCUUUUAUUGCUACUUUUACUAUAUUAUAUUAUUAACUCCAAUGACGACUUAACAUCUAAGAUUAUAAAGCAUAUAACUAAUAACCAUAUGCUGCAUAAAAAAAUCGGAAAAUUAAUGACAUAGACCAGAAAGAAUCCUCGUUCUCCUUGGAUUUAACUUUCUUUUCCGUCAUUCUUCAGAAAAGAACAGUCCAGACUUUUACCGAGUAAUAUCGUUUCAUUUUAAUGUGAACUUUGUUGGAUAAAUAUUGUGGCAUUUGAGAAAGAAUUAAAGUGAAAGGAAAAGCAUUAUCUUUUUGUGAAAACAAAAGAAAGUUAUGAUUUACUUGACUAAAAAAGUUGUGGUAGGAAGAGGUCAAGACACAGAACAGUUAGAAGAAGAAGAAAAGAUCAAUAGCUAGAAAAUUUUAAAAUUUGAAAGAUUUGAGGAGGAAAAUGGUUUGUCCCCACAUGGUUGGUGUGUAAGAAGUGUGCAAGUUUUAAGCUUCCAAUUCACAGUGUACAUACAAAAAGCCAUGCUGGCUAAAAUUCACGGACGAGAGUUCCAUUCCAACAGAGAGAGAGAGAGAGAGGUUUGUUUCUGUAGGACAAGAUCUGAGGGCUAGGAAGAGACACAGAAGUGUGAAUUAAUAAAUUUGUGGUGUGAUCUCUCUAAUGAGCAACACUUCAACAGGCCAAGCCAUAUGACCCAUAAGCUAUAGUCACAUUCAAUAUUUUCAUCAUGUUCUUUUGUUUUUUCUCUCAUCUCAAUAUUCACAUCGCUCUAGAAACCAAUCCUCCACUAAUAUAGUCACGUUCUCAUUGUUAUAAAUUAUAAAGUAUAUAUGAAAUGAUUUGUCAAGUACUUAAAAAUAAACCAAAACAACCACUCAAGCUAUUGGAUUGUGCAAAAUUAUAAAUCUUAGUUACAUGCAAAAGACAAGUUUAUUUUAUCAAUGAAAUGACUUGGGCGUCUGUAGGAUUUGCUUUUAAAAAAUUUCUUGUAUUGGACAAACAGCACAUCUAUCAUAUAGAAUUUGGUAGAAACUUUAGCUGAAGGGUUCACGAGACUUAAGCAGGAAGAAAUUUGUGGGCAGCUGACUUUAUACGUUUCUCACUAUGUUAGGAUACUAACAAUAAUUUAGACUGAAAGGACUGUAUAAAUGGCUUAAACAGAGGCGGUACUCUGGUUUACUUUAUUUAUAUAUAAAGCCAAAUGAUCCAGAUUCACAAGAUGAAAAGAAAUAACAAGAAACAACAAGGAAAAAUGCAGAAAAGAUCAUACCAGCCUCUUGGUUUUAAGAGACCCUGGUGGCUGCUGUAGCCCUACCUCCUAAAAGUUAAAAAUACCCUAGCUACUCCAACCUAAUAAUCCUAUUUAUAGACUCACAUAUUCCUCAGCCCAGUGGGCCCUACCACUCAGAACGUCCUUCCAAUCAUUUCUCCAUAAUAAUUCCCUGUGCAGUUACUUUUCUACCCUUCCUCCUAUAAGUAUGGAUAAUUGGGGGUCUUACAAUACCCCUCGGUUCCAAGUUCACCUUGUCCUCAAGGUGGAAGGUGGGAAACUGUUGAUUCAUUUGGUACACUGCUUCCCAGGUAGCCUCGUUCUCCGGUAGUUCUUUCCAUUUCACCAACCACUCGUUGGCCCCCAAGUCCUUAUUCCAUCGAAUGCCCAGUACGGUUUCUGGUUGUAGCUGUAGUUCAAACUCUUCCGUUAGUACUGGUUGUUGGAUUUGUACUACAUGUGUUUUUCCCAAUUUCAGUUUCAGUUGGGAAAUAUGGAAGACGUCAUGAAUGGAAGCUUCGGGCGGUAACUGCAGCCUAUACGCCACUUCUCCAAUUUCUUCAAUUAUGCGGUAAGGUCCAUAGAAUUUAGGGGCCAACUUCUCCGACCUCUUUCGUGCUAGAGAAUGUUGCCUAUAGGGUCGAAGCUUGAGAUAUACCUCAUCUCCCACCUUGAACUUAAGUUCCCUCCUCUUAGAGUCUGCCAUUUUCUUCAUUCGGUUCUGCGCCACGUUCAGGUUCUCCUUUAGAGCAAUCAGUGCUAAAUCCCUCUCUUUCAGCAUUAGUUCCACCUCAUUGUGAGGAGUCUUGUGAUUGCCGUAUGAUAGCAGCGGAGGAGGUGAUCGUCCAUAUACAAUCUGGAAGGGAUUUGAUCUUGAGGAGGCAUGGAAAGUUGUAUUAUACCAUAGUUCUGCCCAGGGAAUGAACUUAUUCCACUUUGUCGGCUGCUCAUUACAAAAACACCUCAGAUAAGUUUCUACACAACGGUUUACUCUUUCAGUUUGUCCGUCCGUUUGAGGGUGGAAUGCCGUACUUCUUUUUAGAAGGGUUCCCAUGCUAGCAAAUAUUUCUUUCCAAAAGUUGCUUAUGAAAAUUUUAUCCCUAUCGGAAAUGAUUGACUUAGGUAUUCCAUGUCUACUCACUACCCGGUCAAUAAACACUUCAGCCACUUGCCUUGCAUUGAAAGGAUGCCUCAUGGUGAUAAAAUAGGAGUAUUUGCUCAGCCUGUCCACAAUUACCAUUAUUACAUUCAUACCUCCUGCUUUAGGUAGCCCUUCAAUGAAGUCCAUGGACCAGUCUUCCAAGAUUCUUUCUGGAAUUGGAAUUGGCUGCAGAACUCCAGCUGGUUUAGUUGCUUCCAACUUAUUUCUCUGGCAAACCUCGCAUUCUUGCACAUAUUUUUUUACAUCCGCCUUCAUACCCUUCCAAUACAAUUCCCCACACAUCCUUUUAUACGUCCUUAAGAACCCGGAAUGGCCUCCCAAAAUGGAGUCAUGAAAUGUAUGUAGUAAGGUGGGGAUCAGAGUGGAUUCUUUUGACAACACAAUCCGCUUCUUAUACCAUAGGUUUCCAUUCACCCAUUGGAAUUUACUAGGCUCAUCAGGAUUCUGUUUUAAUUCUUCAAUGAUUGCCUUAAGCUCUUCAUCUAACUCAACCUCUUUCUCUACCACCUCCAUGUUGACAAUACCCGUGGUGGACAUAUUCUUCAUUUCCACUGGUUGUUCUAUUCGGGAGAGGGCAUCGGCUGCUUUGUUUUGUAGUCCGGGUUGGUAAAGUAUUUCGAAGUCAUACCCGAGGAGUUUAGUCAGCCACUUCUGGAAUUGGGGUUGCACUUCCCUUUGCUCUAAAAGGAACUUGAGGGCCCUCUGAUCUGAGAUGAUUGUAAACUUCCUUCCCAAGAGGUAAUGUCUCCACUUCUGUACUGACAGAACCACAGCCAUCAAUUCCCUCUCAUAUAUGGACUUGGUUUUUGCUCGGUUUGAUAGUUUUUGACUGAAAAAAGCUAUGGGAUGGCCAUUUUGAGAUAGAACUGCCCCUAAAGCAAUCCCCGACGCAUCUGUUUCAAUGAUGAAAGGCAGGUUCCAAUCCGGUAGAGCUAGUACGGGUAGGGUUGUCAUGGCUAAUUUCAGCUUAUCAAACGCCUCUGUUGCUUCUUCCCCCCAUAGGAAUGAGUUCUUUUGUAAUAAUUUGGUCAGCGGUUCUGCCAUCUCCCCAUACCCUUUGACGAAUCUUCUGUAGUAACCUGUCAACCCUAAGAACCCCCUCAAUCCGGUUACAUCUUUGGGUUGGGGCCAAUUUACCAUGUCCUUGAUCUUGUCUCCAUCAGCUUCAACCCCUCUACUGGAUAUUAAAUGCCCCAAAUACUGAAUCUGUGAAUGGGCUAUUACGCAUUUUUUUUUGUUAGCAACUAACUGGUUAUCCCGCAUUACUGCAAAAACCAUGGCCAAAUGCUUUUCGUGUUCUGUGAGAUUCGUGCUGUAUAUCAAUAUAUCAUCAAAAAAUACCAGUACACAUCUCCUGAGGAAGGGUUUAAAGACCAGAUUCAUUAAAGAUUGGAAAGUAGCUGGUGCGUUAGUGAGGCCGAACGGCAUGACCAGAAACUCGUAGUGUCCUUCAUGGGUUCUGAAUGCUGUCUUUUCCACAUCCUCCUCCUUCAUCCGUAUCUGAUGAUAUCCAGAUUUGAGAUCCAGUUUUGAAAAAACAGUGGCCCCAUGCAGUUCGUCUAGCAAUUCCUCUAUCACGGGUAUUGGAAAUUUAUCCGAUAUGGUUACUUGAUUUAAUUUUCUGUAAUCAACACAGAAUCUCCACCCUCCGUCUUUCUUUCUUACCAGCAACACAGGACUCGAGUAAGGGCUGUGACUGGGUCGUAUUAUCCCAACUUGGAGCAUUUCAGAUAUUAACUUCUCGAUUUCUUCUUUUUGUGUGUGGCCAUAUUUGUAAGGUCUCACAUUGAUAGGUUUCUGGCCGGUUACCAGCAAAAUACGAUGGUCACACUCCCUUUUUGGUGGUAAUCCCUUCGGUUCUUCGAAUAAAUCCGUGUACUGCUGGAGUAAGACUUGAAUCAUUGGAGAUUCUUCCUCAUCCCCCUUUACUCUCUGUACUUCAUCCAAUUCCCCAUCUUCCUCUGCCUCAUAGUUCUGCAUUUCGAGUAAGAAGCCUUGGUCGUCCUCUUCCCAUGUUUUUUCAAUAGUUUUCAGAGAGCACUCUGCCCUAAUAAGUGAAGGAUCUCCUUUUAAGAUAAACUGUUUUUUUUCCCAUCCGAAAUGUCAUGGUCAAGGAUGGCCAGUGUAUCUUCAUGGUUCCCGUUGUGUUUAACCAUUGCAUCCCUAGAAUCACAUCUACACUCCCCAGUUCAAUUGCUAAAAAAUCAGCCACGAUUGUGAUCUCUUUAAGUUUUAGUUCUAACCUGUUACACACGCCUCUUCCUUGGCAUCUUGUACCAUCUCCGAUAGUGACUCCAAACGGAGUAUGAUUCUCUAACUCCAGUCCCACUUCCUCCACAAUUUUGUUGUGUAUGAAAUUGUGGGUGGCCCCACUGUCAAUCAGUAUCAAUACUUCUUUCCCUUUAAUUUCGCCUUUGAUCUUCAUCGUUCCUUUACUUGUUAGGCCAUGUAUUGCCUUUAACUCAAUUUCGGUUCCCUCCUCCAGUGUAAGCUGAUUCAACUCUAAUACUUCUUCAUUAGUUUCCUCUGUUCUGUCUUCGUCUUCCAGACUUUCUUCUUCAUUCAUGAUAAACAGCAUCAGCUCUCUUUUGUCCUUCAUUUUGCAUCGAUGUCCAGGGGAGUACCUUUCAUUGCAUUUAAAACACAGACCCUUGUCAAGUCGUGCUCUGAAUUCCGCAUCCGAUAAGCGUUUCACUGGUGGUUCACUCUUCUGGUAGUUGCCUUUAAUGGGAAUUGUCACCUGUUUCAAAGGAAACUCUGUUUUCCUGGUGAUUCCCUUCUCCCCACCUUCUGGACCCUUGUUCGUGCUUCCUUCGCCUUUUUUGUAAUUCCGUCCUCCCCCUUCUGCCUUGGACCAUUGCAGGGCUAAAUUUCUGUCGUUGACCAGCUGUGCCUCUCUCAUACACUCCUCCAAUGUUAGUGGAUUGCGGCUCACGACUUCAGCUUGCAGGUUCGGCUCUAGCCCAGUCAGGAAUGCAUCCCUUAACACACUCUCUGUCAUGUGGGGCAGGGGUGCUGAAUAAUUAACAAAUUUCUUUACAUAAUCAUUGUAGGAACCGUCUUGUUCAAUCCUGAUCAGUCUCGCCACUAAACUCUUCUGCCCUGUGUCUUUAAAAAAAUCAAACAUCCUUUCUUUUAGAUCCUCCCACGACUCCACCUUCCUCCGAUUGUGUGACCAUCUGUACCAGUCUACCUCAUCUUGUCCAAAGCUGACUACUGCUACCUUGACCUUUUCGGUCUCGGGUAGAUUAUUGAUCUCAAAAAAAUGCUCUGCCCUGUAAACCCAAGAUUCCGGGUUUUCUCCCAAGAACAUUGGCAUCUCUAAUUUCUUAUAUUUACUACGGUCACCCAUGGUCAAGUUCCCUUCGUUAUGAACAUCGGUUUCCUCAGCUUUUCCCUUCAGUUUCAUUACUGAACCGUCGGAGGUCCCAGAUUCCUCCCUUCUUUUGUAGCUAUGGUUCUCUCUUAGAUCCUCAGCCAUUCGUUCCAUUGCUUUUUUCAUUUCUAACAGCAUCUCUUUCAGACCCAUUAUUUCCUUCUCAGUUCCAUCCACUCUGUCUUCUAUUUGUCUCUGCGCCAUUAGUCUAGUAACCACCCCCAGUUUUUUCGGGCUCUGAUACCAAUUGUUAGGAUACUAACAAUAAUUUAGACUGAAAGGACUGUAUAAAUGGCUUAAACAGAGGCGGUACUCUGGUUUACUUUAUUUAUAUAUAAAGCCAAAUGAUCCAGAUUCACAAGAUGAAAAGAAAUAACAAGAAACAACAAGGAAAAAUGCAGAAAAGAUCAUACCAGCCUCUUGGUUUUAAGAGACCCUGGUGGCUGCUGUAGCCCUACCUCCUAAAAGUUAAAAAUACCCUAGCUACUCCAACCUAAUAAUCCUAUUUAUAGACUCACAUAUUCCUCAGCCCAGUGGGCCCUACCACUCAGAACGUCCUUCCAAUCAUUUCUCCAUAAUAAUUCCCUGUGCAGUUACUUUUCUACCCUUCCUCCUAUAAGUAUGGAUAAUUGGGGGUCUUACACACUAUCUCCCAAGUCUAUUGAGUUCGUCAAAAUCAUGAAAAACUUGUAUUAGUUCACUAGAAGAACUAACUCGAGAAAGUUUAGAGAUACUCUGAUGGAAGGAAAAUAGACCAAUUCUUCUUUGGAGAUGUAGAGUCUAGUAAAUCGAUUGGACAAGCUAAAAAAUCUUAGGCAUUUCAUUUGAUGAGUCGCAUCAUAAUAGGUAAAAAGAUAAUUUGUUUUAAAAUUUAAUUGUCUAAUAUGAAUCAAAACAAUAGUUAUUUCAAUGUCUAAUAUGAAUCAAAACAACAGUUAUUUCAAUCUUUAAUAUGAAUCAAAAUAACCAUUACAUUCUAACUAAAUCAGAGAAUCAACACAACAGCUACUAGUUGGUACUACUCAAACCUCGUUAUUUCAAUCUUCUCUCUUUCUUAAGAACAUGGAUCGCACUGCAGUCCCAAAAUCCUCUUCCCUUCUCAUGGAUUUUCCAAAAUCCAAUAAAAGAGUGGUCUACUUUUCACGAUGAUUAUUCUCCCAUUCUGUGUUCUUGAAAAUAAAAAAUAAAAAAUAAACUCCCAAUUUUAUCCGAUGAUUCCACAAGGUUCACUUACUCUCUUCUAGGAAUCUGCUUUUCAUCUAUCUUCAUGUACAAGGAUUCAUUGUCCUUCAGCCUUAAAAUUAAGUUUUACGGAGAUGUUGUUCAAGUGUAAAUUUAAGGAACUCGCAUCUAGCCUUUAUCAUUGUUCACAUCGAUCAUUGUGAAGUGAAGCCUAUUUUGACAGUGUACGUAGUCUAAAAUUUGCCUUCAAGACAAUUUCAAAGUAUGGUUAUGACAGGGACGCCCACGAUACUCUUCAAGCCCAAUUCAAAUUCUCUCACCUAGUCCAUAGGCUCCUUGAUAGUAAUAUGGUUUUAUUAAUACACUGUCUAUUUCAAUCGCCUCAGUCAAAUGAUUUUAACUUGAGUGCUUAGAUUGUGCUUUGUUAACGACUGGUCCCUGGAGUUUUUCAUUUCCAUUUAGUUAUGGCUAAUUGUUUACAAUAUUCAUAUAUUCUAUAAGUGUGAAUCGUAUGAUCAAUCUUUCGGUUAAUGAGUUAGUGAUGUCAGUUGGUUAGCCUCAUUAGACCGUCAUUAGACAAUUUUAUGUUUAUGCACUUUUCUAGUUGACCAUUUAUAUUAGCAAUCCUAUGUCGUGUGACUUAAUUUUACUCCAGUUGCAGAGUCUGCUUCAUUUUAAUUCCAUUUUUCACCCCACCACAAAGCCAAACUAAUAGACCACCAAUUAUUUUACAAUAUAGUAGGAGGAAAAAGGGAACAGUUGCACGUGCACAAGAGAAGGGAAAUGAAGAAAGAAGUGGAAACCAUCUUGGCAAGGACCACGGUUAGUUACAUGGGAGGGAGUUAAAAGGGAAAGAAGGAAGGGAAGAGAGGGGCAGUUAAUCAGUUUCUGGAAGUGGAGGGCUGUAAUUUCCUGGAGAACAGGGAAUGCAGAAAGUGUUCAGUUUUGGUAGUUUGUAGCAAAUUAUUUCCACUAUCGUGAAGUAUUUUUCUGUUUUGAUGUUUUAUGUUGAAUUCAAUUAAUUUUUGUAUUAGUUCUUGUGUUGUUCUUUGUUUUCAAGGUUGCGUUUGUACUGUUUUCUGUACCGAUGUAUUCUAAGAAUCCGGUAACCUCGUUCCCUAUUUUAUCUUUUUACUAUGUGAGUGAGAAUGCUAGUCCAACCACACUUGGAGCUAUUGUCCAAUCAAGUAUACCUCAGUCCUUUAGUCUCAUUAGUAUUGAUGGUAAGAACCUUUGGAUCUUGGACUCUGGUGCCACAAAUCAUUUAAUCGGUUCCUCUGAACACUUUGUGUCCUACAUUCCGUGUGUCGAAAUAAGAAGAUAAGAAUUGCUGAUGGCUCCUUGGCUCCCAUUGCCAGGAAAGGGCAUAUUUCUCUUUUUGACGGGUUCUCAUUACACAAUAUGUUGCAUGUGCCACGAAUUUCAUAUAAUCUUCUGUCGAUUAGCAAGAUUACUCGUGAACUAAACUGUAAAGCAACAUUCUUAUCCGAUUCAGUUUCUUUUCAGGACUUGAGCUCAGGAAGGAUGAUUGGCAUCACCCGACACAAUAGGGGUCUUUACUUACUUGAUGAUGAUGCCCCCUUUAGUAGUAUUUCUAGGAACAAUCUUUUAUCAUCCUACUUUACAACUUCUGAAAAAGACCUUAUGUUGUAGCAUUUCCGUUUAGGUCAUCCCAACUUUAAAUAUAUGAAAUAUCUAUUUUCUCAUCUUUUCUCCAAAGUUGAUGUUUCUUCUUUAUCUUGUGAUAUAUGCAUACAAGCUAAACAUCACCGAGUCUCGUUUCCUUUACAACCCUAUAAGCCAACUCGACCUUUUACUCUUGUCCAUAGUGAUGUUUGGGGACCAUCCAAUGUCACUACCUCCUCUGGAAAACGAUGGUUGGUGACCUUUAUUGAUGACCAUACUCGUCUUACUUGGAUUUUCCUGAUCUCUGACAAAUCUGAAGUUACCUCCACAUUCCGAGACUUCUAUCACAUCAUAGAAACGUAAUUCAAUAUUAAGAUUGCAAUUCUGCGAAGUGAUAAUGGUCGUGAGUUUCAAAACCACUCUUUUAACGAGUUCUUAUCCUCUAAAGGAAUUGUUCACCAAAGUUCCUGUGCUUACACCCAAAAAAAAAAAAAGAGUUGCCGAACGAAAAAAUCGUUACCUUUUGGAAGUUGCUUGUUCUCUUAUGUUCUUCACUUCUCUUCCUUCCUAUCUUUGGGGUGAUGACAUUCUUACUACCGCUCAUCUCAUAAAUCGCAUGUCUUCUCGUGUCCUUCACUUCCAGACACCGUUAGAUUGCCUCAAAGAAUCCUAUCCCUCCACUUGUCUCAUCCCUGAUGUUGAUGUUCCCCUUCGGUUGUUCGGCUGCACUAACUAUGUCCAUAGCCAUGGUCCUACCCAAACUAACUUUACCCCUAGGGCUCAGGCUUGCGUGUUUGUUGGAUAUCCUCUACAUCAAUGAGGUUAUAAAUGCUUUCAUCCAUCUUUACGUAAGUACUUUGUUACCAUGGAUGUCACAUUUAUUGAAGAUCAUCCUUUUUUUGCCCGUUAGCCUACUUCAGGGAGAGAAUGUGAGUGAAGAGUCUAACUAUAUACUUCCCUUAAAGUCUUCUUAUCCUACUAUGGUUACCUUACCAGACCCUAGCCCUCAUAGUACAGUCCUACCAACAAAUCAAGUUCCUUGGAAAACCUACUAUAAGAGGAAUCUCAAAACGAAAGCUAAGUCUCCUAUUGUUCAGACGGCUCCGGUGUAGAAUUCUGAACCAAUAAGAGAUCAAGGUAUGACUGAUUCAAUUAAUUCAUAUAGUAAUAACAGAACAUGUGAGAAUGACGAGUCUGAGACAACUGUUAUGAAAAAUAUGGGUGAGCAAGGCAGUAUUGAGGAGGCCGUUAUAGACAGAGAGGACAUAAUUAUUGAGAACGAGGUUGUUGCUGAACAUACUGAAAAUAGUAGCAGGUAUGAUUCAUCUUUUGAUCUUCCUAUUGCACUGAGGAAAGGUACAAGGUCAUGCACAAAGCACUCCAUAUGUAAUUAUGUGUCAUACAAGAAUCUCUCACCACAGUUGAGAGUUUUUACUGCCAGCCUUGACUCUAGCACAAUACCGAAAAAUAUUCACACUAUUAAAGUCCAAUCUAUUGUUGUAAACAAAGAUUGGCCUCUAUGCCAGUUGGAUGUUAAGAAUGCUUUUUUGAAUGAAGACCUUGUGGAAGAAGUCUACAUGUGCCCUCGCCUGGAUUUGAAGCCCAGUUUGGUCAGCAGGUGUGUAAACUCCAGAAAUCCCUAUAUGAUCUAAAACAGUCUCCUAAAACAUGGUUUGACAGAUUCACUACAUUUGUCAAGUCCUAAGGGUAUAGUCAGGGGCACUCUAAUCAUACUUUAUUUACAAAGGUUUCCAAGACAAGAAAGAUUGUUGUUCUAAUAGUUUAUGUGGAUGACAUUGUUUUGACUAGAGAUGACCAAGCAAAAAUCAGUCAACUAAAGUAGAGAAUGGAUGAUGAAUUUGAAAUCAAGGAUUUGGAAAAUUUGAAAUAUUUUCUUGGAAUGGAGGUGGCCAAAUCUAAAAAAAGUAUUUCCGUGUCUAAGAGGAAAUACACCAUUGAUUUGCUAACCGAGACAGGUAUGUAGGGAUGUCGUCCCGCUGACAAUCCUAUUGAAUUUAACUGCAAACUAGGAAACUCUGAUGAUCAAUAUCAGUGCCUUGUGGGUAAAUUAAUUUACUUAUUUCAUAAUCGUCCUGAUAUUUCCUUUGUUGAGUAUUGUCAGCUAGUUUAUGCAGGCUCGAUGCUCCUUAUGAGGAACACAUGGAAGCGGUCAACCGAAUUUUGAGAUAUUUGAAAUCAACACCUGGUAAAGUGUUGAUAUUUAGAAAGACCAUUGAGGCAUAUACUGACUCGAAUUGAGCAGGAUCUGUUGUUGACAGAAAGUCUGCCUCCGGUUAUUGUACCUUUGUUUGGGGCAAUCUGGUAACUUGGAGAAGUAAGAAGCAAAGUGUUGUGGCCAUUAAUUUUCUUAUUAUAGAAAUUUAAGCAGUAUAGGGACCUGUUUGAAUCUUGUUCUUCCUGUACAAUUGCAUUGGUUGAUCCAGGGAUGUGAUUUUCGUCAGCUUUAAGUUGCAGCUGUGACUUGUACAGUUGAGAGAAAUCCCAAGGUAUCCAGACCUAGUGAUGACAAAUUGCAGAUGAUGCUUCUAGCUUUGAAUUGGACAUUGAACCCAUGGCAGAUACCUCGACGGAAGAUCACAUGAAUUUGGUGUCCCAAUUCUGCAAUAUUAGAUCCAUCGUUUUUCUUUGAACUGGUUGUUGCUGUACAUGGUCCUCUGCCUAAAAGGGGAAGAGCGCUAUCAAACAUUCAGGCAAAUGUUGAAUGUAUUUCUCUUUUAUUUUAUAGACAAUGACGCUGCUCACCAUUUGCUUCCUGAACCACCAAUGACAACGAACCCUUCAAUGCAAGGCCGUUAAGGAAACGUUCUGUCUCAGCCGGGGGAACCUGCAAAUCGAGCUGAGAAUCAAUUGGUGCCACAAAUUUUGUCCGUCGAGCUAAUAUUUGCACAGUGAUGGAAAUAAGAAAGAAUACGUUGCAUUAACAAAAUAAAAAACUAAACAGAUACAGUUUGUAGUAACUUCCAAAUCAAAUACAUACUUGACCUGUCCAUUACGACAACGAAAAAGAUAAACCACUUACCACACAAACCUCUAACUGAGAUGCAACUACUCAUAAUAUCCAACAUUGAGGAGAAAAUUGUGUUCAUCGGCUAAAAGUGAUCCUAUCUAUAGUUAUUAGCACAAGCACUUUUUCCUCAGUAUCGAGUAACAUCAGGCAACCCAGUCUCAAUAAAAUGGGUUAAUAUCAGCUCGAAAGAAAUUGCAGAUAAAUUAAGCUUUUACUUACUGUCAGACUACUUGAGAGUAGAUAAAAUUUGCCUUAAUCUCCGUUAAUGAGAAAUGGCAGUAUAGAUAUCCAAUGGGAGUUACAAAAUGUGAGGUGGCAAUGAUUUAACCACCAAUAACAGAAUUAAUAUUCAACUGAUUGACAAUAUCCUAAAAACUCCCCCUCAAGAUGAACUUAAUAUAUUCAAAAUUCCCAUCUUGGACAAUACAAGUUUAAAAGAACAUGAAGGUAAUGCCUAGGUGAAAAUGUCAGCAAGCUGGGAAGAACUUUGAAUAGGCAUCAGUCUGACGUCUCCUUUUGCUGUAUGGUCACAGAUAAAAUGGCAAUCAAGCUUGAUGUGCAUCGCUCUUCCAUGAAAAGUUGGAUUUGAAGCUAUGUGAAUAGCAGCAGAGCUAUCACAAAACAACAAGGGAGGAGCUGGUAUGCUGACUUGUAAGUCUUUAAGUGAUCGAACAAGCCAAGAAACUUCACUGACAGUGGCUGCCAAUGCCCUGUACUCAGCCUCAGCAGAUGAACUUGAAACUGUCGUUUGCUUCUUUGACUUCCAUGAGACCAAAAAAUCACCAAGAAAUACACAAAAUCGGGGUGUACACUUGCGAGUAUCAAGGCAAGAAGCCCAAUCAGCAUCACUAAAGGCACUAAUCUGAAAGAAGCUUAAAGCUUAUAGGAAAACCCCUUGUCCAGGAGUUCCUUUGAGAUACCAAACAAAGUGCGAGCUGCUGCAAGUGUGACUGUCUUAGGUUUGCAACAUAUUGACUGAGCUUAUGUACUGCAAACAUGAUGCCAGGGUGACUAACUAUAAGAUAUAAUAAUCAUCCAAUGAGACGCCUACAGAAGGAAGGAUCCUCGAGUGGUUUGCUAUAUUCAGCUCGUAGUUUUAUGUAUCCACAGGAAGAGAUGCUGGUUCUGAGGCAAGAAAGCCACUGUCUUUUAGAGAAUAACCAACAGUGAACUAAUAAUAUUCAACUGAGUAACAAUAUCCUAAACUUACCUUCCAAAGAUCCAAGAAAGAAACCUCCAGGUGGCAGGCAAUGGCAUCACUGUACUCAGUUGUAGCAGUCUGUCCGUGCUAUUGAUUCCACUAUUCGGAAGUCCCAAGUUAACAGUGACUUUUUACUUCUAUUAAACUGUGACCAAUUUCUCUUACCACUUUUUUUGUCAAUGCAAUUUCUCUAAGUUGCUUUGAAGUUUCAAAAUCUCCAAUAUCAGAAUAGAAAUUUGAAGCCUGCAAAAGAAUGGCAGGAUCUUCAGCUUCGAGGUCCACCAACCACUUUACAAUUUUCCUUCCGAUUGUUUCAUUUCUAUGGACUCUACAACUUCUUAACAUGGAGCUCCAGAUUACACCGUUGACCUUUUCAGGCACCUUUUGAAUCAACUUUUCAGCCUCAUCCAGUAGACCUGCACGACCAAGAAGAUCAACCAUACAUGAAUAGUGUUUCCAGUCUGGUUCAAUUCCGUAAAGGGUUUUCAUCAACUCAAACACAAAUCUUCCUUCUUCGACCAGUCCUGAAUGGUUGCACCCUAUCAAUGCACACAAGAAAGUCACUUUGUCAGGUUUCAGGCCUCUCUGGAUCAUCAUCUUGAGUAUUUCAACACCCUCCUUCCCGAGUCCAUUUCGAGCAUAUCCAUUGAUGAUCGAGGUGAAACAAAUGACACCAGGGGAAUAGAUUUCCUCAAAAACUUUCCAAGAGAGCUCAACAUGACCACAUCUUGAAUAAGAAUCCAUUAAAGAACAAGAAACCACGGAGCUAAAUUCAAAGCCUGAUUUUAUGGCACAACAGUGGAGCAAUCUACAUCUGCUCAAGUCUGGUGAACAUAUUGAUAUUGCUUUUAAUGUUGUAGAUAGAGUAACCUCAUCAAGUCCAAUUCUCUCGUCAACCAUCAAUCCAAACAUCUCGAUCACAUCUUCAAUGACACCACAGUGUAACAAAGAUGUCAUUAAAGAGUUGCAACACUCCAAAGUUCUCACAGAAAUACUUUCAUAAACGGCCACUGAACUCUCAAUAUCAAGGCAUCUUCCGUACAUAUUUAUCAAGGCCGAUUGAAGGUGGCUACUCUCAUGACCAAAACCCAGUUUCAGAGCACAAGAUUGAAUCUGUUUCCCCAACUGGAUAUUCCUUGUCCGACUAGAUAAAUUCAAAAGAGCCAUUAACGACCGAAUUGAGGGCCUUUUCCCCCAAAACUGCAUCCGAGAAAACAGCUCAAGUGAUUCAGACAAGAAACCGACGUCUGCAUAAACUGCAACAAUAGAAUUCCAGGAAAUAACAUUAUCUAAUGGAAUACAUUCAAAUGCAUUUUUUGCUUCUGUUAAACUUCUGCAAUCAGCGUAGAAAUCCACCAAAGCAUUUUGAACAAAAAUAUUUGAUUCUACCAAUCCGAUCUUAACAGCACGGUUAUGUAGUUGCUUCCCUUCGUCUAAGAGCUUCUCGUUACCAAAUCCUCGAAGCAAAUAGGAAAAAGUAAGACCAUUUGGCUCUAAGCCUUCCAACUGCAUUUUCGAGAAAAAUCCCUGAAGCUUUUCGAAUUGCCUCAGUUCACAGCACCAACGAAGCAACAAGUUCCAAACAGCUAUAUUUCGCUGCGGCAACUCAUCGAACAGCUUCAAAGCUACAGUAUGAAGACCCAUUCUCAUAUAGAAACCAAUUAGCGAGCUGGCAAUAAACAAAUUCAAAGUAAAUCCAAAAAGAACAACCCUGCAGUGAAUUUGACUUCCUUCUUUGAAAAAAUCCAUGUUGCUACAAGUACCCAAGACUGAAGUAAAUGUUGACGCACUUUCUCUAAUACCUCGUAAAACCAUUUGGCUGUAUAUACCAAAUGCGCGCUGUGGAUAUCCAUUGUGAAGACACCCAGAAAUUAGCAAAUUGUAUGUAACAACGUCAUGAAGAGGCAUUUCAUCGAACAAUUUAAUAGCAGAGUCGAGAUGGCCCAGUUUUAUGAGUUUAUUGAUUUGUCGAUUCUUAAGGUAUAUAAGAUCACGAGCAUGGACAUGCAGACCCAAAGGAGAGUAUGGAUGUGGUAAAUGGAUUGGUGAUGUUGUGGCUACAAAUUCGGAUUUUACAGGAGUAAUAGUUCUGACGAAGGAAGCGAAUUUACUGACCAUUCGCAUCACAGUUUCAGCUUCUCCGAAAGCCGAACAAGGGCUCUAGCUCUACUAUACAACUUAGAAAGGUUUGAUGUGAUCCGUGACCGAGAGGGACCAAAGAAAUGGCGCUUAAAUUGUUGUUCAUAAACAACAGGAUUGUCGUUGAUAUAUUUUAAGUUUUAAUUAAGAGAUUAUCAGUCCUUAUCCACGUCCACAGAGUGAACAGAAGACGGCUUUCUAAAUCUACACUGACAACAGAAAAAAAUAAUAACCCUACCACUUUAUUUCUUCACAAAUAGAAAAUUUUACAAACAACAUUGUAAAUUUUAUCAAGGAUCAAACUUAAAAAAUGUUGGUAUAGUUUGUAAAUAUUUUAAAUAUUUAUUAUUUUUUUAUCUUAACAAAUUUAUAAAAUAUUUUGAAUUAUAUUGUUGAUUUUAUAAUUAUUUUUUAAUUUAUUGAAAAUUUGAUGGGGUAAUUAUAAGUAUUACCCCACGGAUAAUUCUGCAAUUUACCAAAAGAAAAACCAAUUUAAAAAAAAAUUAAGCUUAUUUUUAAAAACUCAAUAACUAAAAAAACCUACAUUAAAAAAGAAAAAAAAAGGCGUACUUUUUGUUAAGCGUCCGAUGGGAAGAAAAUCCAACGGUGGGUGUUAGUAUUGAAAUACGCAGUUCUCUUGACUGAGCCUGGCUUAGAUUUGGGAACAAGAGCCAACCCCUUUCGACCGAGAAGCCGUCGUCUUCACCAUAUUCGCCUGAGCCAUUCGAUAGCCACGUUUGAGGAAGAAUUAGGACUGCCAUGGGGAAGCAACCGGUUCGUAUGAAGGCUGUGGUCUACGCUUUAUCGCCAUUCCAGCAGAAGAUCAUGUCAGGGUUAUGGAAUGACUUGUCCGGCAAGAUUCACCAUAAGAUCUCCGAGAACUGGAUCAGUGCCGCCCUUCUAAUUACUCCUGUCGUCGGCUCCUACACGUAUUCUUUUUUAAACUCCUUGUUCUUUUCCUUAAUUUUCUUAUUUUUUAAAUUUAGAAUUUAGGGUUUGCUUGUCGAAUGGUUUCAUCCUUUCAUAUUUCUAGCUGUUAUCAUUUAAAAAUAUGGAAAAAUAAAAUGAAAUCAUAACUUGUUUUUCGAUGAGCUUGGUAGCUUUGUAUUUUGAUAACUCUUGGUUGGGUCCAAUUUAGAUAAGAUUUUAUUUCUUGAUCAGAUACAAACUGGAAAGGCAUAAUUCGGCGACGUAGAAUUCCUGUAAUGAUUUGGUCUUUUCUGGACUUAGCCUUAGAUCGAAAGUGAAAUAUUUCUCCCGAAGCUAUCAUAUUUGAAAUAUUCGCCUAUACGAAUUUCUACUGAACUGAGGGCAUUUUUUUUUAUAGAUUUCAUCUUAUUGAGCAUACAGGUUUGAUUGAUUGUUUAUUCUUUGGAAUGGAAUAGAAAGCUGUGUUGUUUUUUUUAAAAAAAAAGUAUAGGCAUUACUUUACCUUAUUGAAAUUGUUCCUAGGUCAUGUCAAUCAGAUCUUUGAUCACCCUUCUCGGGUAUGUGUAUAGUUUCAAUUGCUUUAGUCUGUCUUUAAUUAGCAAAACUAGUUCUGUAUUUUGCAUAGGUUGGAAGUAAUAGUAUUUUAGAUAUAGAUUACAGAAAAGACAUUAAGAAGUACCAUCCCCUAAUCCAAGAUUGAUCCGGGCAAGAGGUUUAAAAAAACAAUCCCAAACUCGUGUUGGAUGAUAAUCCAUGUUAUUUAAGUGGGGCGUAAGAAUAAUUUUUUUGGGCAUUUCCAUGCACGAGAAAAGGUAUUUAUAUAAGAAUUUUGAGCACUAGAUGGAAAUGGAAUGGUUUGAAUUUUUGUUUUGGUUUUGGUUUUAUGUUUUUGAAAAUUAUUCUUGUUUCUAACAACUUUCUGAAAGCUUUUCACCUUUCUUGAAAUGCCUAAAGUUUUCCUUUUUAUCUAAAGCGUGCACAUUGCAUCAACAGAUAAAAGAUGUCUCUCAUGCGGUGUUAGUGUUAGACAAGGCCUAAUCUUUCAUGGAUGUUUUUUCCUUCUAUUUUCUUGAAUUUUGAUUGAAGUAUCGUUUGUGUAUAUAUUACAUAUUACACGCAUAGGAUAGAUGAGUUCAUGAAAAUGUUGAAGCAUAUCUUGAUUUUGAUCUCCACGCAAUGAAGGCAUGAUCAUGUCUGUAAAUGGACGCAGGUACGUACAGCAGUACAAGGAGAAGGAGAAGUUGUCUCACAGGUACUGAGCGCCUGGUCCCUUGAUGUGAUAUGCCAUCCCUCUACCUUGAAGAACUUUUGAUCUUUAUCUAUUUUUUUGUUAUAUGCAAAUGGAGCUCUGGUUUGUUAGACUAUGAGGAUGUGCUUUUAUUUUGAGGAACAUUUUCUCUCUUGUUUGUUGGAAUAAAUUACAACAUUUUUUUGUUGUCAAUGUGAACUAUUAUAUAAAGAUCAGUGUUAUAUUCCGUGAUAUCAAAGUAUGACAAAAGCAGGACAGGACCAACAUAUUCAUCCUUUCGUCUACUGAUUAACUUUGUUCUAUUUAUUGUUUUCCCAAUUCCUGCAAAUCGUUUAUCUGGCUUGGCAUACAGAUGGAACAGAUACACUAAUAAAUAUGAUAAGUUCUUAUUACCUCUUUCGACUGGUUUUUUGGAGAAAUCAAUCAAUUUUUUCUCUUGGCAUGAACUAAAAUUGAUUAAGGAAAAUCUAAAAUCAUUUUGAAUUUAUUUUGGUUUAAUUAGUUGAUUGGUGAUUUUUGUGUAAAAUAUUGUUGGGUUGCUAUUUGUGAUUUUUUUUUUUAAAUUCUAGAUAUUGAAAUAAAAGGGGUAUGUCAUUAAGUUUUUAGUAAAACACACAAUUAUAUAUGUUUUGAAUCUUUUUCAUUAUCUGUUGUAAACAUUCACUCCACUCAAAAUAUCAAUAAUGUAUAGAAGAGUUAAGCAACAAAAUUAAAGGCAAAUAUCAAAUUAUACCUUUACACUUCAGUGUUGUAUUAACUUUCACAAAUACAUCAAAACCAUGUACAUUCAUACAAUAUAAUUUAAACCUUCAAUUUUAAAGGGUAAAAGAUAAUGUAUGGUUUAAAUAGGUAUACAAUUAUCAAUUAUCAAUUUAAUUUGAUAUAAACUCUAAAUUAAAAGUUUUCAUAAAAUAAAUAGAAAUAGAUAUUGGUUAUAUCGAUUUUUUUUACCGUAAAGAUUUGAGAUAUUACUUUGUUUUAAUGUUACUGACUUCUAUUUACUCUUGUUUCAAAUAUUUGAUUAUUUUUUAUUUAGCAUGCUAUUCAACAGACAAACUGAUAUACUUUAUCAAUCGGCAUACUUAUUUUUAUCAUAUUUGGCUUCUUCUUUUUUUCUUUCUUUUGUACUAAAAAACUUUCAACUAAUCUCGAUAGUAUAUACUAACUGCAUGGUGUCAACUAAUAUGCCAAUAUGAGGUACGUUAAUUGAUUUUAAGUUUUGCUUAAUUAGAAAUUGGUUGGAGCCUGUGUGUUUAUUUAUAGUUUUGGAAUUUUUUGUGUAGAUGCCACAAAUUCCACCUUCAUCGAUGGAUCCCUUAUUCCUUCAAUCAUCUCGAGUUGGACGCCGUAGCCUCAAGCCAAGCAUCUGAUCUGAAUUUGACGACAAAUCCGACCCACAGGUCUUGAGGAGUUCCACGAGCACAGCGACAACGACUAUACAGCAACAACGACUGCAACUUAAAAAAAAAGGACGCUCGAUCGGAAAGGCAAGCUAGGGCAUUCGAAUCAGUUGAGGGUUUUGCCGGAAGCCUCGUGUGCUUAAUUUAUGAUUGUGCCAAUUGAGGUAACUAAAUGGUUUAACUUAAAAAAUAUUUUUUUAAAAAAAAACAAUUUUUUUAAACAACUAUGUACAAAAUGUAGAAAAAGGGCGGAGUUAGAUUAGAUAACUGGAAAUUGGAAAUCGGAAGUCGAAAUUGGGAGAAGACGGGUUGUUGGGGGAUGCCUUGUUUUAGAGACGAGUCCCUUGCGGUUCGCGCCUAUACAGUUUGCGAUGAGUCAAGGUCCACUCCACCUCUGUUAUUUCUUCUCCGCAUGAUCGAAGGAAGAUCUAUUUAGCUUGUUCAUUUUGAAAUUCAACAGGUAUUUGAUUGUGAGGAACGUCCCGGCAUUGGGUUGUGGAGAUGACUUGCACAAACUGUUCUCCUCCUACGGGAACCUUGAAGAGUAACUUCAAUCCUCGUUUCCCCUUCUUAAUUCCCGUACUUUCUUUUCUAAUUCCUCAGAUGGGAUGAUACUUUUUUACCGCUCCCUCGUCACAUGCUUCCCCCAUGUUUGAUUGGAUUAGCUUCUCAUAAUUUUAAUAACUCACUCAGGUGUAAACCCAUGGAUGCAGAAGAAUGUGAUGAAUUCACAGACGUUUAUUUUGUCAAAUUUCAUUUGGUCACCAAUGCCAGGUAUUUGCACCUUUCUACUGGUUUUUCUUUUGUUUUAAAGAAUGCGUUAUUGUGCCCCUGAGUUUGGACCAUAACAAUUUAGCUUUCAGGUUUGCAAAAAGAAAAUUGGAUGAGUUUGUUUUCCUUGGUAAUCGGCUCCAAGUCUCUUAUGCGCCUGAGUUUGAAAGCUUGCUUGAUACAAAGGAAAAGCUGGAAGUUAGGAGACGGGAAGUUUUAGCACGAUUGGAUUGUAAGUUAUGCUUUGGCAUAUAUAUGUGUGUCUGUGUGUGUGUAUGAUAGGAAGUUGUUGCUUUGGGUACAUUUGGAAGAUAGUAACUUAAAAAUCCAACAAAACCCACGUUAUAGUUCAGAAAUGCCGUUUCCUUCCAAUAGUUCAUUUUUUUUUUUUUUAAGCAUGUAAUAACUUUUGUAUCAGCUGGCAGACCAAGAGGAACUGCAGUUAGUUCAACAACCGCAAAGCUUACAAAUCAAUCUCGCUCUCAUUAUACUCUUAAACAGAAGAACUCCCUUGAAAAGAGGUUUGAGCCAAAUUAAAAAAUUUGCAGUUCCUGCAAACUUGACAAGUUUGUUUAAACUCUCUCUCUCUCUCUAGUAGGAAUUAUGGAGACGCAGCACUCAUUUCCAAUCCCCAUGUUUCUCAAAUAACAAGAGUUUCCUCUGACCAGGUUUGUCACCAUGGCUGUUUUCCUUCCCUUUUCAUGUCAUCUUUUAUGUUACAGUAAUUAUUAACAAUGCUAGCAAACAACUAUUCUGUUUUCUUUUAGUUUAAGCUUCUCUUGUACACGUGAUAUUUGAACAUAAUUCUGUGCUGCAAUAUGGGUGCAAGUAGUUCAGUCCAACAGAUUGCAUGAUUAUGUCAAGUACUUAAGCACCUUGGAGAACCACACCCCAAAAGCUAGCUAUUGGGGUGGGAGAGCCAAACCACUUAAGUGCCACAUUGAUCAUUAGUAGAUUUCUUUGAAAGGUCAAUGCAAUGUGAUAGGUUGCAAGCACAAAAUUAGGAAGCUAGAUGAUUUCUCUUUAUUUGUUAUGUUAUUAGGCACAAAAAUUCUGAGGCAUUGGAGAAGUCUAGGUUCUCCCAACCAUCUGUGAAAAUACUAGUCGGGGAUAUAUUAGGAAUCUUAGUUAGGAUAGUAGAACGGGGAUAGUGGUAUUUAAUUGGUGGUGUCGUGGUUAUCAGUAAGGAGAAUUGGGGACCUUAGAGGGGAAAUGAUUUUGGUAUUAUCGAGUGUAGGACUUUAGAGAGAGACACGGUCCCUCGAAAGGCUAUAAAUAUUGAAAUUUCUUUUGAUAUUGCAAUAUAUUCCUAUCUUUGUGUUUUCUAUUUUGUUCACCAUUAGGAGAAUCCUAACGCCAUCUCCUGAUUUUUCCUUUGUUUCCUUGUACUUUCCUUGCCCUUUUACUAGUCCGUUCAAAUAAAAUAGUGGAGUGAUCUGCAAUCAACCUAGUGGUAUUUUAUUUUAUUCGACUCCUGUACACACCAUAUACACAUACAUGAAACAAGCACUUCUUGGUGUCUAUAGUGCAACUGAAUCACUAAUGAGCCCGUGGAUGGAAAUUAUGGGUAGGGGUCUUGAUUUUCUUUAGAUGAAGCUAGAGCUUCUUGGUGGCUACUGGCUAAAUGGUGUGGUACGUUGUCUGAAGUGAAGUGCAUAGACGUUUGAGAAUGUGGUUUUGCAUCCAAGUGUUGAGAAAAGAAUUUUUUUGGUGACAGGUGAGCAAAAGCCAAAGAUGGAGGUGAUGGAAACAAUAUCUUAAGAAAGAGAUUGUUGUAAUCACUCCACCCCUAAACCCUAAUCUCCAUUCUUCGUCAUUCCUCUUUAGGAACAACCAAGAGCUUUGGUUCCGGAUUCGUGCAAUAAGUUUUUGUGGUUUAAGUCAAAUUUAUCACAAGGGGAAACCAUCAAACCUCUCUGAAGUUUAAAUUCUUUAAAUGUAUAAAAGAAUUCCACGAUAAAGCAAGUAUUGGGAUUUAACUUGUAUGAAAGAUGAGAGUAACUUAUAAAUCUCAGUCUACGAUUGGACUAAUCAAUAGAAUUAACUAACUGGCAUUAACAAUUUGACUAAUUAUCUUAAUCAAAUUAGCUAAUUAGACAAGUCAUAGAAUUAUGUUUCCUGCGCUUGCUAUCUCCGUUCUUUCUUGUCAUAGUAGUUGAUUACCUCUGUAGACAUCUAACGAAGGGCUUAAGAAUAAUAUAUUUCUCUCAUUAUGUUCCUGCGAUGUGUUUUUAAAAGGUAAUAUUGUUUUAUCACAUCUAUGAUAAUUGCCUUGCACUAUCCACUCAAGAAGUGCAAAGGUACGGUUUACCAAGUAUUCUAGAUCACCUAUUCUAGGGGAGACCAUUCUAUAUGCUACCUUUUGGUAUACUUUCAAUUUUUUUCAGUUUCAGGUUAUUGACAAUUUUCUUUUUUCCUUCGAUUGUUUUGGAAGUUUUAUUUCACUUUUGUUUGAUACAGAGCAAUGAAGUCUUUGGUUGUCUAUAGUAAAUUUUGUCUAUCCUAUUGAAUUUUUUUUUUAUGAUGUACGUGUCUUAGUGAUGUUGGUUGGCUCAUUUUCACUAGGUUGGGCAAAAGGUAACGAAGGUUAAAGGAACAUUCUUGAUAAUGGCUUUUGAACCUUCUUGUGCCUAGGUGUUCAUAUUUGCAUGUUACUUCUUUUUCUAUUUUUAUUCUUGUCCUUGUUGCGUAGUCUCUCUCUCUCUCUCUUUUCCUUUUUUCUUUUUUUGUGGCGGAAAAUGUCACUUUAUUCUUGAGUACAGGAUUACUUCGCAUCUGAAUCUAUGAAUCAAACUGUGCAUCUCGUCAGGGAAAAGCUUGAUAAGGUUAUAAAACUUAUAUUCAUAUAAUUUAUUCUCUACAUUUGAGCGCAUUUGUUAUUCAUAUAUUGCUUCUUACCUUUGUGUUUUAGAUUCAAUCAAGCAGCGAACAUCUGCAAGCUGGACCUGCGAGCAAGAAAUCACGUAUGGACAAUAGGAGGAGAAUCUAAUGCUUGCCGACCUCUUUAUAGAGACGGUUAAUAGGUGUUUCAACGUUGUAUCAAAAGUUAUUAUUUUGACAUGUCGCAUAUAGGCAGAUUUGCAGUGUACACAAAUUAAACUGUUUGAUCUUUUAUUCCAAAGGUGGAAAAGGAAUAGCGCAUGCAACAAACUUCUGUAGAGGAGUGUUUUAUUGUCAUCACUAUAGCACGCAUUGCUAUUAGCAGUUCUUCUCACACGAGGAUCGUGAUUGUAGAUUUAUAGAACAACUUUUUACCAAAAUUUCAUACCGACUUAUUAAUUACUCCGGGAAGAUGGAUGGAAUGACCACUCCUAGAACAUUAAUAAUAGUUUUAGAAAAAACGGUGGGUAUUGUUAAAAAAUUUUUAACGACAACAAUGAGUAAAGAAUCCAUCAACCAGAAGAAGAUCAGAGAUGUGGGGCGUGAAAAGAGAAUGUAAUUGUUCUUCAUGCUAAGACGAGUAAACUUUCAAAUGAGCAACUUUAACGUUCACCUUAGUGAUUAAAACAAUGCAGGUAUAUAUCAUACAGACAGAAGGAAAACGUGAUUUUGUUUUGCCCUUUGGUAAGAUUCUUAAUUUAGGACAAGUAGACUUGGAUACCAGCCGUUUUGAUCAAGUGACAGACAGGACAGACAUUUACAAGUCCAUCGCAAUCUUUACACAAACAUAAAUGUCUACAAGGCAUAAGUAGGAUGGAAACCUCUUUUGCCUUGCAUGCUCUGCAAAUCAUGUAUUCUUUGCUGGUUGAAGGUUUUAUUGUCCCACCUGGAACAUUUACGUAAUUGUUUGGAUCGAUGUUUGAGGCAGCAUCAUCCACUUCACUAUCUCCAAACCCUUCCUUCGCUUGGUCAGCACCCUGCGAGAUGGCAUGCUGAAGAUUGUUUUUCAGGACAUUUACAACUGACUCGUUGUACUUUGCUCUGCAAUGCCAAUUUUGAGCUUCCGUGGCCACAUGCUUUAUUCUCUCCACUAGCUCUCUGUUUUUACGGUUCAUGCUCUCAAUUUCAACAUCCUUUUCAUGUAGUUUCUUUUCGAUGCCUUUCUCAACCGCACUAAGAAAGGAAGCCAUAUGUCUUUGCUUCAUGUCCCUAAUUCCCUUUGCCAAAUGUUCUUCCUGUUUGCCAGGCAGAUGGAAAAUCUAACACAUUAGACGCAAUUGAAUCAACCGCAUUGAAGGUUACUUAAACAUGAGCACCCCAUUUACAGGCAUCACGUGCAAGUGAUUGUAAUUGCUAUAGAGAGAAAUAAGCUCUUAAUGAACUAAUUAGGCCACAAUCGCAAACAUCUUCAAGGAAAUAAUAUCACAAACUAUUUUAGUUUUAUCCCUAUGCAGCAUGCACUCUUGUUAAAAUCCAGAAGAGCAGAAUGUCCUAGAAGCUCUGAGGAGAUUAAAGUACCUGAAUUUUAAUAUAUUGAUCAAAUUCUUCCUUUUGUCUAUCAACCUCAGUCCUGAUAUUAUCACCAAGUGAAAAAAUGAUUGAAGGUGCAGCUGUUAUACUUCCACUGGCAGUGGUAACAGAGGAAUUGUGUUCAUCAUCAUCAUAUGAUAGUCUUAAGCCUGUUGAUACAGCAUUUGGGUUUCUAAUGCUUGUUGAACGAUUAGCGUCAUCUUGACAAGCAUAAUUUAGGGAAAUCUGAAGCUUCUGCUGUCUUGAGAAAUCUUCUGUUUCCCUACUUCUUUUGUUAGGGCGAAGCAUUGGAACCAUUUGCUCGUUUCCAAAAUAAUUUACAGGCUCGAUUCCACAACUAACGGGCACUACAACAUAAAUUGUGAAUUCUAUGAGACAGGACAACUGAAGAACAUUUAACAAGAUCUGAUUAAUCUUCCAAAUACGGAUCAGACUUGCAUUGUUAUUCAAAUCAUUUACUCUGGCUAGACAUACUUAUAAAUAAAAAAUUACGGAAUGCAGUAAGUUGAAAUCAGAUAUUUUAGAGACAAGAAACUCACAGUUCCCAAAUAACUGCAGCUGACCAGAAGCAUUAUUUUGAUACUGAGUUCGUUUUUCAUCAAGGAAAACGGGAAGCAAACCAUUUCCAUUGUUGCCACCCAACAUUUUCCAGAGAAUUGAAUCGAUGACCUUCAGAUAAAGAGAAAAUUAAAAUACGGACAGCACGGAAGGCUCACUGCCUGCAAAAGGAGACAGCAGUCUUAAUCAUUCUAUUCACUGAUGGGAAAAAAACAGCGAGGAAGAAAAAGGACAAUAAUAUGAAUUUUUAAGUACGAGUGGAGUAUGGAGAUAUGAAGCUCCAACCUCAAAUGAAAAAAAUUCAUAUGUCAAUUAACCUUGGGCUAUGGUUACUUUGGCAUUACAUGUAGACAAGCAAGAAACAAGGCUUAGAGUAUUCUGUGAGUCGGUUCUCAAAAAUGCCAAAAAUCUUGGAUGGAUUAAGUUAUUGAACAGACAUCGCAUUGCCACAAAAGUUUCAUUGUUAAUAAAACAAAAGGGGGCUCAUCUUCAACAGAUCCUAUUAUGAAACAUGGGUAUGAUAUUCCAGGACUGAAUUCAGUAUUUGAAACCCCAUAAUGGGCAAUCAAUAUUCCUACAGAAUCCAGAUAUCCGUAGCAUUUACUAUGAAUAACAACCCAUCCAAAUAGGUGAAAAUACGAGAAACUAACCACCAUCACGUUUUCGUUAGAAAGUCAAACCUAAACAUAAACAUAAAAUUCAAGGGAAGCACGAAUUCAGAAAUAACAAUAGAGGGAGAUCAGAUCAGAAGAAAUAGCAGGAGUUGAAUCAAUCAUAAAACCAUGUAGCGAUAGUCAGAAAAAACAUCAACAGGGAUGGGGACGCGGCAAAAGGAACGGGAAAAAGCUUAGUGUAUCAGAAGUGGGGAUAUCUAAACGAGGAAAGUUAGGGAGAUUGAUGAGCAGGUUUGACCGGAAUCGCAUAAUGAAGGAAGAGGCAAUCAAACAAUUUUGACAAGGAACAAUGUUUAGUUGAGAUCAUGAUUGGAAGUUUUCCUUAUGAGGCACGACUUUAGCAACGAUGCAAACAUGAAAGUAGGGGAAGAAAAGGAUUACCUUAAGAAGAAGUCAUAUGGGCAGUGCGAGAUGAGAAGAAAUAUCAUCUCCAGAUCCUGCCAUUCAACAAUCCACACAGAUUUAUCUACAUGAUUCACAAGCAAUACAUAUACACACAUAGUAAUAGCGAAAAGAAGAAGAAAUAUGUAUAAUAUUAUAAAAGAUAGAAAUACCUUGAAGAUUGUAUAUGUAGAAUCGAAUGUUGAAGGAGGAGGAAUAGGAUCUAGAAAUAUGUGUGUGCGUGUGUGUGUGUGUGUGUGUAUAGAGAGAGAGAGAGCGAGAGGAAAGGGAAAAGAUUGAUGGAGGGUUCUGGAGAGGUAAGGUAACCGACGAAAAGGAUGAGGAAGAAGAAGAAGACGAUGAAGAUGAAGAAUUAUAGGAGAGAGAGGAAGAGGAAUUGUAGGGAGGUGGUGCGGUGGGAGUGGAAAAUUUAUUAGAAUGAAAUGAAUGAAUCGGUGGUAGUGGUUACGCAAACGGAUUUCCGUUCCCUUUAUAUAUAUAUAAUAAUUUUAUUAUUUACGAAACACAAAUUAAUGAAUUAUGAUGGAAGGGAAAGAAGAAGAAGAAGAUGAAGAAGAUGAAGAAGAAAAGAGAAGAGGGAUGAAAGUUAAUAUCACAUUUUCAACUCUGGACCCCACCCACUUUUUAUUUCUCUUUUCUCUUUUUAAAUUUCAUUGCAUUUCCAUUUUUCCAUUACAAAUUUGGGUGCUUCGGUGGCAACACAACACGGUUUCUAAUUCAAAUUUAACUUCCUAAAUAAAAUCAAUUUCUUAAGGCUUAAACUACACACUCUUCCAAUUGGAUUAUCUAUUUAUUGAUUUUAAAGAUAUGUUAAUUAUUGUUGGAAUAUGGAAUAUUGUGGUGUUUUUAAAACAAUACUACCGUUACUUAUGUUUUUGUCUUUUGAUUUUGAAUUUGUACAGGAAUGGCCAUUUCACGUAACUGCCCCUGCAUCUUUAUUUUAGAAUAUUUGGUAAUAUCAUAAUUUUUCAAUCCAUCCAAAUAUAAUUAAAAUGAAAAUUGAAAUGAUGAGCGUAGCCCGUAGGAUGUAGGAUUAGGAGGUUGUGUAGGAGAUAGGGAGAGUUAGGAGUGUGAGUGUGAGUGGGAGUGGGAGCAUUAUUAUUCAUUCAUUUACCAAUGACCAUAAAAAAUAAAAAUAAAAAUCAUAAAAGGCGGGGGGUGGGGCGGGAAACAAGGCCUUGUGUUGCGUAAUUACAUUGCCUUAAUGUGUUAUUCAAUAUUCAACGUGCAUCCUUCCCUCCCCUCGCUGCCUCGGCCCCACGUCUACUUUUUCUUUUCUUUUCUUUUUGGCGCGCAAUUCCUUUGCAUUUGUAGCGAUGAACCCCCCCCCCCCCCCCCCCCCCCCCCCCCACACCAACCUGCCCUCCUCACGGAUCUCCAUUCCCCGAUUUCCGGGUCACCAUUUCUCCGUUUUUCCAUUUUCUUUUCAUCUCAUUCCCAUCUUUACUUUACUUCCCACCCUCACUUAUCCUUUUCUUUUUCCCCCCCUCCCUUCUAAAUUCAAAUUUAACCCUCCAUUUUCCUUCCUAUUUUUAAUACCCCUUCCUUUUCCAACAAUCUCAUCUUUUAUUCCACUCUUUCAAUUACUAUUUCAUCACAAUAUUAAAUAAAUAAAUAAAUAAUUGUUACCAACAUAUAUAGAAAUGGAAAUGGAAUACACUUCUAAAUUUAUUACACCUUAUGCUAUAUACAAUAAUAAUUCUUAAUGUAACAAGAUUAAUAUCCACAUGGAGAUCUAAUAUGCAUUUUAGAAUAAAUCUUGAAAUGCUAAAGUUCGAUACUUCUUUUUAGUUUGAACAAGUCAAAUGAAAAAAAAAAAAAAAAAAAGAGGUUGACAAAUAAGCAGUGGUUUAAAUUUGAAAGAUUUGUUUGUGAAGGUUGGAAAGGGCUUUGUGUGUCUUGCAGCAUAUGAAGAGAGGAAAGGUCAAUUUUGUUGACCAACAUGCGGAAGGAGAAGAGGACGAAAGGGGACGGCGAAGGCAACGCGGUGAGUGGGCCUCAAAAUAGAUAACCUCUCUCUCUCCCUAUAUCUAUAUUUCUUUGAAAAUAUUGUUCAAUUUUUCUUUUUAAAUUGAAAAAAUAAUAAACACGUUUUCUUCAUUCCUUGUUAGCUCUGAGCCAUUGACUAAUCCAAACCCAAAUACACCAACAAUUCUAAAACUGCUUCCUUAACCUCCAAUUCCAUACUAACUAUCUAAACCUUUAUCCCCCAUCCUCAUUUGUAUACUUAUAUAUAAUUCACGCAUGGGUGGGUUGAAAAAAGUUGAAGAAGAAUCAAACCAAACUUAGAUCAAUCAUAAUAGAUAUAAUCUCAUACACAUACAUAUUUAUAUUUCCCAUUUUAGGAACGUAUCAUAAUUUUCCUAUUAUUUAAGACGUUGGGUCAUGAAGGGAAUGGGCAUUGCGAAAAGGGCUGGUGUGGUAGGUCAAAGCCCAAAGUUUUCUUCUUCUUCUUCUUCUUCUUUUUUUAAUUAAAAUGGAAAAGAAAUACCAAAGGGGUCAAACCCUGGUUGGGAUCGAGGCACGUAGGGUUGUGCAGAAAGCAGAAAGCGAAGAUGAUCAUCCCAGUGCGUUGCUUCACUUGCGGGAAGGUAAGCUAUGGACAACCAUAUUCAACAUUGAGUUAAAGUUUCUUCUCAGAAUUCCAUUUUCCUGUUUUCUCUAUCCUUCUAUGUCCCACUGUCUUUGGGUUCUUGCCUACCCACCACCCCCAAAGUUUUCAAUUACUCUCAACUCAACUCACCUCUUAGAACCCUUCGGUUUAUAUUUUUUUUAGGUGAUUGGAAACAAGUGGGAUCAUUACCUUGAUCUUCUACAGGCCGAUUAUUCAGAAGGGCAAGUGAGUGCAACACGUCACUUCAUUUACAUUUUGAUUUCCGUCUUGGUUUCUUACAACAUCCAAAAGCAUACCUGUUUUACCUUGCCUUUUAGAAGAGAUCCUAAUGCAUUUACUUUUCCCGUAUUAGGGAUGCACUUGAUGCACUGGGUCUGGUUCGCUACUGCUGUAGACGAAUGCUCAUGACUCAUGUUGACCUUAUGAAAAGCUUCUUAAUUACAAUAGUAAUCCCUUUUCGCUUUCCUUCUCUUCCUUCAUGCACGAGCUGUUUGCCUACUUCAGUUUUUCGCUGCCCUUUCACACAUUUAUCGCUUUCUGUUUCAGCUCUGGAUAAGUCUGAUACCAGUUAGGCGGGGGAAAAGUUUUCUGCUUGUUCAUGUGCUGUGCUGUGCAGGAGUCAGUAUUGGCGUUUACUUAAAGAGAAGAUUCAGUGCAUGACUCGAGUUGAGCUGUGUCUUGGUGUCCCGCUCUGUUUAAUUGCUGAUUUUAUCAAGGGUUUACUAGCUUGUAGGAAUUACAUAUCAGAACUGUGUACUAUCAUAAUGUUGAAAGAUGGUUAGAAAGAAAGGAUGUAGUUAGUAUGCUGGAAGGAUUUCCCUUCUCUUAACUAACUGCCUUUGUGAAAUGGUGUUUAUACCUGGACUAUCGCUAACAAAUUAAUACAACUAUCAUCAGAUGUUUACACUGCGUCAUUUGUUCAGUUCUAAUUGCUUAUGGUUUUCGGUUUCUCAUUGUUGAUUAAUGGAUGUGAAAGUCAUUUGACAAAACCAUAAGAAUGCUUUGUAAUCUUCCUAGAUGCUUCAAGCACAAAAGUGCCUUAAUUUGACCUGCAUAUUGUCUCCCCUAUUCUUUUGACACCGAAAUUAUUAUUUUGAACCUUUUCUUUGAUCUGCAAUAUAUUUCACUGGCUGUUUAGAAAUAUGAAACGAGUUUGUAAAGACCGACUUAGUCUUACAGCCAUUUUUUUAGGUUUUGUUGUUCAAUUUGAUGUUUGACCUGGAAAUUAUUUCUAGACUACACUUUCAAGGAUGUCUUCAGGAAAGACUUCUUUUUUUUUUUCUUUUAAAAAAAUAGAAAUGAAUGGUGGGGAUUUGAACUACAACUUGUUGGUCCUUAGGAAAUACAUACAUUAGUUGAGUGAAGUUUUUGUUGGGAAAACUAAUAUUUUUAUGUUUGACGUUCUAUAUAUUGCAUGUUUUGGGUCAGUAUCAUGUUUUGCACAUUUGGUACAAGUCAAACUUAGAAUAAAUGGCAACAGCAAGGGUAUAAGUGAAAAUUUCUAAAACAUGGUAGAACUAUUUGAAAAUUUCCAAACUUAACAUUAUGGACUAAAGCAUAUAUUUAGCGAAAAAAAUUAUCUCACCCAGGAUCUGGGCAAGUUCAUAUUGCCCUUCUGCUCAACAUUCAAUCAAAAUGUUCAUAAUCCCAAAUCCAGUUGACCCACUUCAAAAUAACCAAAAUGGUGAGAUUUGGUGGUGUCCAGACUUCAGAGUUCAUUAAGACGUGGAUUUAGAGGAAGGGAGAGUGUAUAGUCUUGAGAUUCAAAUUUGACGAGGAUGUCCUGGGAACAACAAGAGAGAAGGUACUCCUUUGAAAUCGUACGCCUAGCACCUGCUGCUGAGUACUUUAAUUUGUCUAUUGACUAUGAGUGUGAGGAAAGGUUGGGCUUUGAAAGAAACGAGAAAAUGCAAGUUACAGUCAAGAAUGUGGUGUGGGUCGGAUCAUAUAAAAAUCACAUCACCAUUGGCAUUCAUUCAGCAAUAUAAUCGAAGAUUUCAUCUCUAGUCCUUCGGGUCAUGAGGUUUUCCAGUUCAUUUCUCUGUUAUUUCACGUUAACUACUGUCCUACAAAGAAAGUAUGUUAUACUUUCAGUACUCAAUAUGUUGAUGGUUACUUAUUGACCCUUCAAGUUAUCCACCUAUAGCAUAUAGCCUAUAGCCUAUACCUUGCUUUUCCUUUCCAUAGUAUUAAAAAAGGGAGAAAAAGAUCAGCUCCAUGCCAUUCCUUUUCAUAUGUAUGUUAAAUUAGGAGACAACGUGGCAUAUGAGUGUACACUAAAAACUUUAUUUAUCGUAAGGCUCACAAUUGAAUCACCGCAUGCAUAUGAUUAUGUUUCUGUAUGUUACCUAGUGGAGCAGCUACCUUCUCUCUCUCAAUAUUAUUGUGGGCAAUUUAUUUUGACAUAAAAUAUAAUAAAUAAUGGGAUCUACAACAUCACUUCAAUUUCAAUUUCACCUAUCAAUAAUCUAUAGUACUGUUGUAAUUUGAAUGCCACUUGGAAUACAGUAGAUGAAUAAUGAGUUAUUGGCAGUGACAUGAAUUUAAAGAGGUUGUUCAUUGUUGGGGCCAAAGCAAGGGGUGGAGAGAUUUGUCAAAAUCAGUCACACCGUUAGGAAAAAUAUACAUAUAAAUAUACCAUAUAUGUGCAAUAACCAUCCAUUCCAUUCUGCUACUUUCUUAUCUAUUUAGAGAUGGGUUUUGGAUUGCUUGUGCUGUUUUGGCCCUUCACUUGGAUAUCUGUGGAUAAUAUUUCUUCUUUCCUCUUCUUUCAUUUGUUCCCCCUUUUUCUGCUAUAAAAAAGCUCACAAAUAUCUUCUCCUGAUCUUUGGCGCUUGUGAGGGCUUUUGAUUUGUUCUCUUCUCUGUUUUUUCAGCAAUAUUUCGUCCUUGGGUUUUCGCUGAAUGUACUUAACAUUAUUCCUGGGUUUUUGACCAAACACUAUAGCUAAUUUCUAAAAAUAGAUAUACAUAAAAUAGAUAAGUCAUAGUAUCAGUAUGUACCGCCCCAACAGCCACCACUUUCUUCCUUGUUUUCAUUGCCAACCCCAUGCCUAUAUCCGGAUGGUACUGCUUUUCUCUUUCUUUCACCAAUUGUAACGGUUAAAAUCUUGGAUUUUUCUUUUUUAUCAUUUCAAUUAAUUUUGCAGGUCCAGCAUCUGAUAGAGAGAUGCUUGCUGCUUCAUAUGAGUCGAGAUGAGUGCGUGAAGGCAUUGGCUGACCAUGCAAAUAUCCGUCCUCUCAUUACACUUACAGGUCCGUAUAUACAAAUACUCCUUUUAAACUUUGUGAAUCAAAUUUUAAUUUGUUAUUCAAUUAUCUAAAUUAAGCUAUUCUGGGGCUUUUUUUUAAUUAACCUGCCAGUGUGGAAGGAGCUCCAGAAAGAGAACUCUGACUUCUUCCGAGCAUAUUUCCAUACCAUUUCUCCCAAUCCAUUCCUCGGUAUGAUCCCUUAUCUUAUGGUCACUUCAAAAUAAAAUAAUGUCAUUUGAUUGUGACGGCCUUUGCCUAUAUGAUCAUUUCAUUUAGUUCCUAUUUAGCUUGAUUAAUUAUUCACCUUACACACAAACCUACAGCACUAUUUUAAGUACUUCAACUCUUCAGUUUGGUACAAACAAACAAAAAAAAAAAAAAAAAUGCAGUUGAAUAGGUUUUAAUUUUAAGAAUCGACAUCUAUAUAUUUAUUUGUUUAAUUAGUUAAAUAUUUGGGUCCAUUUACAGCCAAAUUCACGGGGAGUGAGCGGUGCAUCAUGAGAAGACAAUAUCUCUACUGGAGGUGAUCCAUUAAGAAUUUGUAAUGCUAAUAUAUAUGACGACGGCGACGACGAUUAAUUAAUUCGAACCCAGUUGUUUGUAGAUCAAGUAAGCUCUUUUAUUAUUAUUCUUAAUUUGUUUUGGAAUAAAAAAGAAAAAAGAGAGUGUGAAUGCUAAAUUUAAAGCCUGUUUACACAACGGAUUACAUUUUUUUAUUUACCAAAUUGAUAAAUGGGAUACCCUUGAAGUGCAGUCUCCAAUACCACCCUCUGAUCCCUAUGCUAUAUAUAUAUAUAUAUAUAAAGAAAUGUUAACAGAAGAUCAUAUUUUCUCAUAGCUUUUCAGUUUGGUUGCUGAUCUUAAAAGGAGCUAAAAUAUAUUGUUUAAUGUUUAUCCCGCGGUUGGACUUGGGGAACAUUGUUCAAUUGGUAAAUCAAUAGAGCGAGAGGGAGAGGGAGAGGGAGUGAAGCAUUUUACGUGGACUGCAAACUUGGGCCCUUUUAUUGGCCGCCUGAGAAAAGAAACUCCAGCCCAUAUAUGUGUUUUGAAAUGCUGGAGACUACUUAGAAGUAGAAGUAGAAGUACCCCAAUGUCAACUACAAAUACACACCAACUCAAAUAUUAUAAACUUUUCAAUAUUUUAAUGUCAUUUAUUUUAGUCUAACUUCAAUAUGGUACUCAGUGUUUUAAAUCACUUCAUUUAUUACUUUUUAUGAUACAUGCUUCUUUGUUACUCAAUUUACUUUAACCCCACUCAUGUUUUGUUUUAUGUAUCUCAUUCCAUCUUCAACUCUAAUACAAACCAUUAUCCCCAACUUUUUAAAUUAUGAGUUAAAUUUCUAAUGUAAUCCUCAUUUUAUUUAUUUUUACCAUUUUCUAUAUUUCAUACUACUCAACAAUUUUUUUCCUUCUGUAUUAUUUUUAUAUUCAAGGUUAUUUUAUAUGAAUUUAGUCUAUUACGUUUUAAUGAUUACAUCUAGGACAAUAUUUUAUUUAUGGUUCUAAAAUUUUGAUAUUCUGAAACUUAGAUCGUAUAGGAUGAGUUCUUUUUUUUUUUCUUUUUUUUCUUCAGAAAAGGAAGUUUAUCUGUAGUGAUGAAGGACAAAACAAAGCAGGCAAUUGGACAAAAUAAAUAUAUAGUAUUGGAAAUACCCUAUUUUGAUCAUACUAACAUAUCAAACCCAUUUAAUAACCCAUGUUAUUCUACUAUCAUAUAUUUAUAGCUAUUCAUUUUAUGAUAUUUUAUUCCCAUCGAAAAAUAAAGAAUUCUAAACCUUUUAGCUUUGGAAUGGCGUUUUGCAAUAAUAAUAAUGGUAAGCAUUGUUAAUUAGAUAUAGGACAUUUAUUCCGAUCCUCUUUAACAUAAUUGUGAAGUUUUUUAAAAUUUUUAAAUUUUAAAAUGGUUGAUAAUUAAGGUUGAUCAGUUUGGUUAUGCAUCUCAUAUAAGACAACAAAACUCAAGGAAAAAAGAAUAGUAGUAGAGAUAAUUAUGAGUAGGUAGUAGUUAGAGAAGUUAUAAAAUCUAAAAUAUGGUCACAGUAAGCAUAAUAUAAAUCACAAUAUAUUAUAGGUUGAAUCGAAAAGGACGAAAUAGAAAAAAUGGUGAUGAAAGAGUUUUAAUGAAAGUUGUUUUGUAUGUCGUGAUGCCCUUUUAAUUAUAUACACCAAGUUGUCAAGCUUUUUAAUUAAUGCACUCAUUAAAUAGAGAGUGCCCAUGAAUUUAUUAUUACUUUUUUAAAUGGGUAAUAUAGAUCUUCGAUACCCUAUUAAACAGCAUCUUUUUUCAAUUUUUCAAACUGGCUUUUCUUAUCUCGUCUUAAAUAUUAUUUAUGAUCAACCAAUCUUUUCAAAUUUCCUCUCUCUCUAAAAAAGUAAUAACAACAUUUUUUCUUUUAAAAAAUAACAAAUUAUGUCCUCUAAUUAACUUAUAAUGUAUAAUACCCUAGUUGAAUAACUAUUAUCAUUUAUUAAGGAAUUACAAACUUUACUUUUCUCUCCCACCUUUAUUUUCUUCUUCUCUAAUUAAUAUUGUCUCUAAUAAUAUACACAUCUUGUCUUUCAAUUCUUCCCUCUCUAAAUCAUUUCCUUUUGUCUCUACUAAAUCUAUCUCUAGGGUCAAAUAUAUAUAUAUAUAUAAUUUUAUUUUCAAGCUUUAAUUUAAUUUCUUUCCAUUGCUUCUUAGAAAACAUCGACCAAAACACACUAUGCUUCUAGCACGUCUCUUAAUUUACUUUUUACUUCACUGCAUCCUCACAUUGAUAUUUAGUUAAUACAACAAUGGGAAUUAAUUAGAAUCAUUAAGUUUAUAAUUAGAAGACCACAUCAACUGUUUUUUUGAGCUAUAAAAUCAUUUUGGUAUGGGACUGCAUCUCUUAUAAUCCUUUUAGGGGGAAAAAUUAGCAAAAAAAAAAAAUUAUUUUGGAAAAUAUUAACAAAAUAAAAUAAGUAUUAAUUGUUGUUAUUGGAUUAAUUCUUCGAGUGCCGCCGUUAAGAAGGCUUUUGGAAACCCUUUUCUUCUUCUUCUCUUUAUAUCGUAUUUCUUUCCUUCUUUACCUUUCGAUUUUUUUUUUUAAAAAAUUUUCAACCAGUUUUAUUUAUAUUUUAAAAAUACUAAAUUAAGAAUUAAUGGUUUAUAAAUAAAAUUGUUGAUUUGUUUUAAUGUAACAUUUUCCUUUUUUUUCUUUUCAAUUCAAUUGUUGUCUUAUUCUUUUAAUUCUUGUUUCAUUUAGGUGAUACUUGUAAGCCAAGAAGAAUGGAGGAGGAUUAGUCAAUUAUGAGUCAAAAAAUAAAGUCGUGACACCAACUAUAUUUCUAUUGGUAUGAUGUGUUGUGAUGGUGUAUAUAUUAAAGUUAACAGUAUUGUAGAAAUAUUAAAGGACUCGUUUUCUUAAAAAAAAAAAAAGAACACAUUUGCAAAUUUCACCACAUAUGUGUGUGUGUGUGUGUAUAUAUGAUGGGAAAUUAAAAGUAGAUUUAGUUUGGACAUAUAUAUAUAUAUAUAUAUAUAUAUAAUCUCUAAGCUUUGUUUCAUUGAAAGCUAAAAUUCAUACAAAAAAAUAUAAAUAAAAAAUAGAGAAGAAGAGGGAGGGAAGGAUGGAGGGGUAGGGCAUUACAUGAGUUUUAUUAUAAUAUAUUAAAUGAAAAGAAAAAAGUGAUAGAGAAACGAGGGAGGGGAGGGGAUCGGGGGGGGGGGUGUUGUUGUCUUUAUGUCAGGAUGGAAUUAAUAUCUUUCAUUGUCGUUGGGCGCAGAUCCAAAGCACAGGCAGUAAGGGAGUUUUUCUUUUUUAACUUCUAAGAACCACACUUUGACCUCUGAAAUCAUAAAUAUAAAAUAACAAGUAAGGAUAAAGAAAUAAAGGGAAAAUUAAAAUAAAAAAGGCAUUAUUGAGCUUUUAAAAUUAUCUAAAAUCUCAAUCUCAAUCUCAGUGGCAUCCGGGCAUUCAAUUACUGUAAACAAUGAGAAUAGAACUAAUUAUUCAUAAAUUCUGUAUUUAAGUCUCAUUCCAUUUCAAGAAAAUCGACUUGGAUGUGGUCGUUGGCUUAUUACCCCCCCCUACUUUCUAUUUUAUUUUUUUAUUUACCCUUUAAUUAAAUUCUAAAUCAUCAUAAUACACACACACACACACAUACACACCACCACCACCACACCAAACAUAGUAGGGGACCGGAAAUAUAUACUUGCCAAUCCCAUAUAUAUUUACUCUCUCAAAUUUAUUAUUCAACAUUAAUGUUUUGUCUACUCAUAUAUAAUAUAUGAUUAAUCAAUGAAGGUAGCUAAUUUUAAAUAUAAUUACCUGAUUUAAGUUAAUUAAUAUGACGCUCUCCCUCCUUUGGCUACAUUACGUUUUUCUUUCUCAGCAUCAUAUGAUCAGCUCCUUCAGCAUUGACUGGCGGAAGAUGAGCCCACUGCACCUCCCCAACACCAAUAACAAUCAUACAAUUUCUUUCCUUCAUAUUAUACAUCAAAACUAACUUACGCUUAAAUGUAAUAAUAAUAUAUAACCAAAACUCUCUCUCUCUCUCUCUCUCUCUCAUCAAUGUUAUCAUGAAUCCAACGACGUAACACACAUAAAGCUUACAUUUUUUGCAGCUGUCUUGAAUGCUUCUUUAUGAGCCAUCGCUGGAUUCUCUGCCUUCAGCCUCCGAAUCUCUUCCCUGCAUAUAUACAUAUAUAUAUAUAUAUAUUUAAAACUUUUAAAUUUUAAUACAAAUUAUAAUGAUUUGCAUGUGAAACCCCAAUUCACACCCUUUCUUAAACUCUCUCUCUCUCUCUCUCUUACGUAAUUUGAAUUUGAAGUUUAAUUAAUUAUAAAUAUAUAUCUUACUUGAUGAAUUGGUUAUAAGCUGAUGGGGCUCGCUGUUUCUUCUCCGGGGCUAAUUUUCACAGACAAUAUAUUAGAAAAUUUUAAAAAAGAAAUUUCACAUAUACAAUAAUAUGAAGAAAAAAAAGAAAUUUAUAGACAUCAUGAAAGGGCCAGAUUACGCUUGUUAACAACUGGAGUGGGUGGAAUAAUGAUGACGUCAUCAUCUUCAUGAUUUUGAAUAAUGUUAUGGUACGAGGUUAGGAGGUCGGACGACGAUGAUGAAUUGCUGAGGCUGUCCAAGCAGUAGUGUUUCUGGACGUUAAACUCUUGACCAAAACCCUCCUUUGGCUGACCAAAAAAGAAAAAAAGAAAAAAAAAAAGAACAUUUUGUAAUAAUAAUUUCUAGUUAGGAUCAGUUCAUGUACUGCUGACAGUGUGAUUUCAAAACUAGAAAUGUUAAGAGAGAAAAAAGAGAAAAAUAGGUAUAGAUACCAAGUUAUGAGAGAGGGAGGUGAGAAGAUCAAAAGGGAUAAAAGAGGGCUUAGCCAUGUUGACAGAGAGAAGACCAGCACAGUUUCCGCAUCUUACACUCACCACCAUCGACAAGUUGCUGUAUGGAACAUUUACCUGUGCGUAUAGAAUAAUACUUAACACUACUUGAAUAUAUCUGAGUUAUAAAUUAAAAUCAUCAUCAAACAAAACCAUAUAAUAAUAAGACAUACACACACACACACACACAUAUAUAUAUAUUCUCACUAAUUUAAUUACUACUUAAUAAGGCUUGCUGUUUUAAUUAUAUGAUAUGAUCUUAAUUACGUACGUACCAAUAAUAUGGUGCUACAAAGACCACAUUGCACAUAGCGAAUCUGUUCAGAGGAAUCGGCAAGGAGCUGCUCCACUGUCGACAUAUCAACACCUCCUUUUAAUUUAUUUCUAACACAAAACAGAUAAAAGAGAGUGAUGAAUAAGACCUAAUUAUAUAUAUAUAUUUGUCUCUCAGGCUCACACCAAUUUAUAUGCAAGUCCAAUUUAUAUAUACCUCUUUUUGCUUCCCUUUAUUAUCAAAUAUAAUAUAUCAUACUUCCCUUUCAAUUAAUGAUUUCCCUUCUGUCGUUUUCUCACACUAAGAUUCUUUUAUAUAUGAUGUGGUAUACUAAAAUUAUGCACAAAUGUGCUUUUUACAAAUUUAUCUACUUACUUGGUUUAAAGUGCAAUGAUUAGAUACAUCAUAUCUCAUUUUAUAUAUUAUGGAAUGAGAAUUUGAACCCGAUACCUCUUGUCAGUUGAGCUAACCUCAUGUUGGCUAUAUUAAUUUUUUUAAUGUUAACUGAAGACUGCACACUGAUAAUAAUAAACUGCCAUAUUUAUUUUUAUUUAUUUAGAACUUUUUGUUCCAUUUGAUCAUUGACUAUUAAAAGGUAUAUUUUAGAUUUAUAUAUUUUGGGCAUUAUUACAGCUUUCAUCACGUCUCUAGGUAUAUUUGAUAUUAUCACAAUUUAAAACUACGUGGGCUUGUUGAUAUAUCAAAUGAAAAAAAAGGAAUGCAACACUGAUCGUUUUUGUAAAUUAUUUUAAAGAAAUUAAAGGAGUAAAAGUAAAAGGAAAAGGAAAAUUGAAAGUUUAUGAUGAAUGUUAAGAGACGAAAAGGACUAUAUUAAAAGUCAAAGUAGCAAAAUAAAACAACUUGAAAGUUGAAUUAACUUUUGGUAGUGCAUCCACAAGGGAAGUAAAUGGUUACUAUUUUUAACGCAACAAAAGAAAGAAAACCAUGCACUUCUCGCCUCUUUUUUUCCCUAUAAUUUUUCAUCUCAUUUCCCAACAUUUCAUUUUAGUAGAAUUCAGAACGUACAUAAGAUUAUGUGAGGGUCUCUUAGGCUUAGUUAAAAGUGGCUGGUUAAAUGUAUAUAGAUUUACAUAUUGGGUGGAGCUGGUUGAGGGAAAAUGAAUUAUAAUUUAGGUUAUCACACUCGGACAGGUUUCAAAUGCCUUCUUAAUUAUCAUUAGGAGACACAUUCUGACUGUUGUAUUCAGCAAACUGCAUGAUCUAUCACUAAAAUUAAAGAAUUAACACUUAUGAUUGUGAUCAAUUCAUAAAACAUUUUCUACUCAUUGGGUAAAAACAAGGUUAAAGUAUAAAUUCAAUUAUAAAGUAUGUGUAUUUGAUCUAAUUUCAUCUUACAAAAUUAUAAGUUUAGUUUUCAAUUCUUAAAGUUUCGUACAAAGUUGAAAAUUUUGAUUUAUUAGGCAUAAAGUUUAAACGAUCGAUUACUUAAAAAAAAUUAUUAAAAAUGUCAAAAACCUAUUAGACAUGAAACAGGGGCAUAAUGUAUUGAACACUUUUGAAGGUUGUGAAUCAAAUGAACACUAAGGAAUAUCUACUGCAUCCGUCCAUCUCAACAAAAUUAUAUAAGGAAGCACCAAAUAAUAACAUUUCAUGAAAAUUUGUCACUAGCAUUCAUUCUCUAAAAGUUAUUACAUAAUAUGGGGUAUGGGUCUUGAACAUUAGGCAGUUGUUGAUGCAUCAUCCUAUAAGAACAUAUGGGUUCUUCGAUGGUGCAAACUCCCCUAAUCUUCUUUUGGCCAGAGAAAAUAUCGAGUGCAAGUUUGAAACCAAAAGCUAAUUGCUAGGAGAAAUAUCUAAUUUGAUAAACGGUAACAGGAAUCAGCCUCACCAAUUGCUCGAAAAAACAUAUCAGACAUCAGAAACUCAAACCUAGUAAAAAAAAGAAAAAAACCUACCAUUGUUGAAGUAUCAACAAUUGCCCAAUGUCAGAGGACAUUCCCAAACUUGAUUGCCCAAGUCAGCAGUAGAUAACUGCAAUAAAUCUUAUUCACAGUAUUUUCGCUUAUCACUUAUCAGUGACAUGGAAAAUGAAGAACCUAAUAAUAGUUGCAUUGAGGUACAGCUAAACUAAUAAGCGGUCCAAGACUAAUUUCAAAUCCAUUAUGGAUAGGCCAAAAAAGCAUAAAUAGCAGGGUGCCAGUCCAAAGAAUUGAAGAUUUUUCAAUGACGUAAUUAGCACACUGAUUCGAGAGUAUGAAACUGCAUAAAAUUUCCAGCAAACAGGCAGUAUAUGAAAGAUGCUUAAAAAAUAUUUAACCAAAAUUGAGCAUUGAUUUGAUUGUUUCCAAAUGUAAAACAGUUCAUGAAAAUGGACCCAUUUGACCAUUUGUAAUCCUAACAAUUAAUAUUAUCCCAAAAUGAUGAUCAUCAUAAAUAAAAAAAAUCUCUAUCAAAAUGUAAAUAUAAAAAAAAAGACCUAAUCACCGCCGGGCUUCUGAUACACGUAUGUCAAACCGCACUUGCCACAGUAAUGACGAUCAAAAUGAUUGGCCAUAAAUGUACCCGCUCCGCAUUCAGCGUUAGGGCACUCCUUCCUGAGCCUCUGAACCUUUCCUGAAUCGUCGACCUUGUAAAACUGAAGAACAGAGAGCUUGACCUUCUUCUUCUUGUGCUUGAUCUUCUUAGGUUUGGUGUAGGUCUUCUUCUUGCGCUUCUUAGCACCACCACGGAGCCUUAAGACAAGAUGGAGCGUAGAUUCCUUCUGGAUGUUGUAGUCGGCAAGUGUUCGACCAUCCUCCAGCUGCUUACCGGCGAAGAUGAGACGCUGCUGGUCAGGCGGUAUUCCUUCCUUGUCCUGAAUCUUUGCCUUGACAUUAUCGAUGGUAUCAGAACUCUCGACCUCGAGAGUUAUGGUCUUCCCGGUAAGCGUUUUCACGAAGAUCUGCAUAGUGUGGGAGUGGAAGGUUUACGGAGUCGAGGAGAGUAGAUUGACAGAUUAGGGCUAACAAUGGUUGCGAAAGUUUUAUAUUUGGGAAUUAGGUUUGUUGGGCCAACCCAAGGCCCAAUAUAUUCAUGAAUCAGGGCCCGUUUCACCGCUCAUUUUAUAUACAUCAAAACUUUAGGUUAAAGCUUAAAAACCAGAGGUAAUAAAUUGAAGUAUAAGAAAAAUCAACAAUUAAUUAUGAGAUUUCCAAAAAGUACAGAUUGAACUAGUUUGAGACUGAUGUUUCUUCUUCUUCUUCUUCUUCUUCUUGUUUUUAUUAUUAUUACUAUUAUUAUUUUGUUUUGGCCACUUGUGAGUUCAAAAGAUAAAUAAGAAAAUUCACAUAAAUCUAUCUGAUUGUACAGGUGGGCAUGAGAGUGGUAGGCUGUUCAGGUUUGAGUUUAACUAAAUUUGUAUCACGUGCAAACUUCUAAGCUUAUGUUGAUUUGUAUACGUCUUUUUUUUGAAAUUUCGUAAAGAAAAAACAAGAGAUACGAAACCAACUCUAAUUCAUUUAAAAAUCUAUUUAAUUUAGUUGAUAACUACAUUUUGUUUUGAUUUAUAUUUUUACAAAACCUCGAAAAAUAAAAAAGGAAAUCUACUUUUAGGAUCAGUUUUUAUUUAAGCACAUUUUAGGGUUAAUCAUGGUUAAAAAAAGAAAAAAAGAAAAAAAGAAAAAAAGAAAAGUGUAUUUGUAUUUAUUAAAGGCAAGAAUUGAGUUUUGGGAAAAGUGGGUACAGGUGGCGGGUAGAUUGGGGUUGUGGUGUGGAGAAAUUGGAAGUUAUUAGACCAAUCUCGUGUCAUCCCAAUCGAAAAAAAUAUCGAUUUGAUUCUGCAGCAGGAAGGGAGGGUGUGGACCCAAGAACAGAAGAGUCUUCUCCUUCCACCGGAAGGAAGGAAGGAAGGAAGGAAGUGUGAUUUUGUGGAGUUGGAGGUACGGAGAUUUUGCUUCUCAUCAAAUGGUCGUAGGAAGCAAAGAAUUUUCCUUUUAUUGAACUCUCCGUUUCCUUCCGACGCCUUCCAUUUCUAAUUGGUACCUACCAAUUCUACUUUAGCUCUUUUCUUUUCUAUUACUGAUUUCAUUGCAUCCCUUUCCACUCCAUUGGACCAUUCUAGAGUAACGAAUCUGGGAAUCUCUCUCUCUCUCUCUAUUUUUUUUUUUUAAUGAAAUGGUUGUCUUGCUUCUUGUUGAAUUAGCUAGUUUUAGAUGUUGGGAUUUUGCAUCCUUCUUCCUCUGCUCUUUAUUGCAUUUCAACUCCUCCUUCUCUCCUUAUUUCUUCAAUAUAUUAUUGCUGAAUACAAACUCAUUUCCUCAGAAUUUUUCUGCCUAAUAAUUUUAUGUUCCCUCUCUUGCUUUCUUUCCUUUCUCACAUUUUUUUUUUUAAUUUUCCCAUGACUGGACUUCAUUUACUUGCUCUUCCUCCUCCUUUGGCCCUCAUUUUUUCUUCCAUGCUUGCUCAUUGGAAUCCAUCAUUCUACUUUCUGCUUUCCCUGCUCUAAAAUGUUUUUUUCCUUCUUUUUCAUAGACCAUUCAUUUAACUGAUUUACUUCAAAUUUAGACUAUCUUUUCAGACACAGCUGAUUUUUUUUUUUUUUUCGUUUAGUAUAUUAUUAUUAACUCGAAAUGAGUUUCUUAGCAGGACUAUCAGACUCCUGGAAGCCUGUCAUGACUACCGAUACUAAUACUUUAAGCUAUUGGCUGAACUGGAGAUUUUUUCUAUGUGCUUUGUUCCUAUCAACUGUUAUGAUUGUGGCAGCCCUAUUAAUAUGGAAAUAUGAAGGUUCUAAAAGAUCGAAAUCUGGUUCGAGAGACGAUUCACAAGUUUCAGUUGGGUCAUUGUACGAGGAUGAACUCUGGCGGACGUGUCUAAAAGAAAUACAUCCACUUUGCCUCUUAGCUUACAGAAUGCUUGCUUUUGCUCUGCUUUUUGGAUUGAUAUUGAGUGAAGCUAUUGUUUCAGGAGGCAGGAUUUUUUUAUUUUAUACUCAGUAAGUCAUUUAUUUUGUAUUGUCUCGCACUCUUCUAUCACUCUAAACUGAAUAUUUUGUAUUGUUCGUUUAAGUGAGGAGGACAGUAGCUCUUAACUCAAUUGGGACCCUGUGAAACUAUCUUGUUCUUCCCAUUAUUCCCAUGCUUGUCAAAGCUUGGUAAUGAUUAUAGUUCUGAUGGUUCAUUUUUGGUUCAAAUCUAGAAAUAUUUACAUUGUGGGGCGCUGGAGUUUGUUCAAUUAGUAGUCCGAUCAUUGUAUCAGUGCUUGCAUCAUUGCAUAGGAUAAUUUUCAUAUUCUUCUUAAAGAUCUACUGUUAAGGAUUAUAAAUAUUUCCUGAUUCGGUUAUGUAGCCUUUAUAUCACUCUUGCCUAGUAUAACUUUGUGCCAGAUGUGGGAGAAAUGCCCCAAACUUGUUAAUUAUGGCCACUUUCUCAUCUAACAGUCAUAUAUUUAGGGAAAUUUGCAAUCAUUGAUUUAGAUGGUAUCUUUCCAAGGUAUAUCUCGUGUAUUGCUAGAGAGAAGUUGUGAAUUAUGUAGUUUACUACGGAUUAUCAACCUACCGUUUCAGGUCAUGUUUAUCUAUUAAUCAUCUUGACAGUGCAGAAAACAAGUUACAAACUACUUUGACAAUUUAGGAAAUAAAGUUAUAUCCCAGACUAACAUACUUUUUUUGUGCAGGUGGACGUUCACAUUGGUCACACUCUACUUUGGGGUAUGUUUUAUAACUUCAAAAAAACUGCUUGUUUGCCUGCUGAUGUGGUUAUACUUCGCUCACAUUUGGUUGAUCCAAAGUAGGAUGGUGUAUCCAUGAAUUUUGGUCCUGAGAUAUGGGGGUGACCCUAACAGGAAAAUAGUAAUCCAGAGUUUGAUAUAUGUAGCAACAUCUAGUUAUAUAUAAAAUAUUUUUGGCUGUUGAGAACAAGGGUAACCAGGAAUACAACCAAACUUACCUAACAUUCAAUGAAUUAUUAAAAUUCAUGGCUUUAGUUUCCCAUUAUCCGUAAGUUAUUAACUAAGCUAAAAUAUUGCUAUCUUGCAGCUUGCAACUUCAUUCUCCAUUUAUGGUUGUUGUAGAAAACGUGAUGAUAAUGGCAGCUCAACCGAGCAUACAAGUUUAGAUGCAGAGCGAGGCACUUAUGUGCCCCCAACUCUUGGUGUGAACAGCCUCGAUGUGGAUAAUUCAGCUAAGAGUUUGAGCUCCCGUGAAGGUUUUCAUACUCGCAAAGCUGCUGGUGUGGGGGGAUAUGCAUUUCAAAUUAUUUUUCAGGUGACUAUUUUCCUCCUAAAACUGAGUAGAAACAGCUUUUAUGUUGAAAGGUAUGGAUAGGCUUAGGUUGGCGAAGGCUAUUACAUGCUAUUAGUUAACCUUCCUAGUACAUUUUUGAGUUAUGUUGUCAAUUUUUUAGUGUUAUAUUUCUCUUAACAUCUAGAAAAUAUCUUGCUCUGUUUUCUUUUCCUAGGUAUCCGCAGGUGCUGUGGUGCUUACCGACAUAGUAUUUUGGUUCAUUCUUUAUCCAUUUAUUCUAUCUCGAAGUCGUGGGCUAAGUUUUGUAAGUAUUUGAUUUUCUGCCCCCUCUCUAUAUGGCUAAUAUUAAGUCAUUUACAAUGCUUAUUUUAGAUUGGGGGGAGAUGCAUUUUGUUUUGUGUGAUUGAUGUUGUGAUGUAUUCAUCAUUUGGCCACAGUUUAUUGUUACCAUGCACUCGGUGAAUGCUGUUUGUCUUCUUGGAGAAACAAUCUUGAAUGGUUUGGUAAGUUGGGAAGCUUCAAUAGGCUUCUUUUCUUUUGGUAUUCCAUAGAGUAUGGGCAAUGAUUUAAGAUUGGUUUGAACUGCAGCGAUAUCCGUUCUUUCGGAUUGGGUAUUUUGUACUGUGGACAGGGAUAUUCGUCAUUUUUCAAUGGAUUCUCCAUGCUUGUGUUUCAAUGCCGUAACUUUCUACUCUGCUCUAUCACAAUUUCUUGCAAUGAUUUUAUAUUGAACGUAUAUGAAUAAGAUUGUUAAAAUUAUUUUGGCCCGCUUCAUUGUAGGUGGCCUUAUCCAUUUCUUGACUUGUCACCCCCAUCCGCGCCAUUAUGGUAAAGUUUGAAGUCCCUGGCUUUGACUCCAAUGCCUUUGUAUUCUUGUUUUCGAAUUUUCAGUGGUUAUGGACAUUCAUUUUGCAGGUAUGUUGGGGUUGGGUUGAUGAAUGUACCUUGUUUUGGUGUCUUCGCUCUACUGAUCAAAAUGAAGCAAUCUCUGUUGCCAAAAUUGUUCCCGAGGUCUUUUCAGGAGUUGAGCUAACAAUCGAAUCAGACGAUCAUCAAACCAGUGGGUUAUGAAGCUGUGUUUUCCUGUGAUCCCCAUCAUGUUUGCUUCAAAUUAUUCAGUGUUGAGAACGUAAAUAUUACACAUAUACAGAACAUAAAGCAUGAUGACGCAGGCAGUUGGAUGGAAACAUUACCCUAACAAAGCUCAAAUCUAGGCGGAGGAUGCCAGAUUCUGUAAGCCUGUUUUCAUAUUCAAUGCUCCUUUGAGAUUCUGGCAUCUUCCGAAUUACUUAUUUUCAUUUUCUUUUGUUCGAGUCACUUUGAUUUUCUCCCAACUGCCCGUAUAAUUUAUUUGAAGCAUUUAUGGUAUGGAAUGUACCUCCUGCAAUGACUUGUGCAUACUUUUUUUCAAUUAUUUGUUCCAAUAAAUUUAAAAUCUUCUUGUGUUCUAAAUUGUAAUGUUCACUUUUAAUCUUUCACAAAACGUGAACAUUAACAUUAGUAUCCAUAACAUAAUACUUAGAAUGUUGACAAUUUCUAUAAAACCUUGUUAGGCUAAUUACAAAAUAAAAUCAAUUUUGUUUAAUAAAUUAUGUUUCGGAACACUAAAAUGUGUUUGGUAAUGUGGUGUCUCAUCUCAAGUAAUAGAUGAGUACAAAUGUUCUGGAAAAGUUUGCGAGUAUUAAGUACGUGUUUGUAUAUUAUAAAUUUCAAGUAAACUAACAUGUACUGUGACUAGUAGACUCAGUUUUAGAUAUAGAGUAAGCAAACAAAAUUGUUACUGAGAUCACUUAAAAUAACUUCUUUUUUUUUUUUUUACCUAUUCAAACAAUUAAUUUAAACCUAAAAUUAAUUAAAUAAAUAAUACUAAUAAUAAAAAUGUACUCAAAAUAAUAAUAAUAAACAAAUAAAUGUCCAAGGGAUGAGUGUCCUACGUGAUUUUUAAACACGUUAUUCAUUUUGUUAUAUUUUCUAUAAGGAGUGUACAUUUAAACAUGAUAAUUAUUUAUGUUCGAUAACAAUUUAAAAAUUAAUAUCUGAGUAUACGUAACAUUUUCUUUUAAAAAGUUGUAAAUAUAUAUGGAGUCAAUUUUUUACACUUGUGUGGUACUAAAAAAAAUUGGUGGUUCUAUGUAUGUAUAAAUAUUAAAAUAUUAUAAAUAGAAAGAUUUGAUGGGUGACCCUUUUGUUUAUUAACCUAAUUUGAGUAAGGUAGAUGAGUUUACCCGUUAUUAAAAGCAUAUAAUUAAUUAAGAUUCAAUAAAUUAAAGUAGCACCUCGAAACCUUACCUAAAUUUGUUGAUUUGUUCCCAUAAAAAAAAAAAUAAUGUACCUAAGUUGGUUGAACUGGUCUUCUUUUUGCUCUCUCAUUUUUCUUCUUUUAUUAAUUAAAGUAUUAUUUGUUGGAAAAUUCACAAAACUCUAUUCAUAACUAUUCUAAAAGAAACCAUACAUGAAAAAACAAAAUCUAUCGUAGAUUAAAAUUACGUAGAUGGACUUAGAUUGAUUCUAAUGAAAAAUAGAAGGCUAAGGCGACAUAGUAUGAAUUGAUUUUAUGAUUUUCCCUAAUUGAUCUCUAGAAUCAUCAAACUAGUUGGUUUCUAUUGAUGCUCGUGCCCAAUAUACUAAUUAAAUAGUUAAAUUAAUAAUUAAAGAAUUAGUUGGAAGGAUGGUUGUUUUCAUAUCUAAAUUAUUGAAGCAUCAAAGUUUAGGGGAGAGGUAAUUGGUAUGCAUUUGUUGUUUGAAGUCAAAUGUUGAACCUCCAAUUCUAUUAUUUGCACACACACACACAACAAAAAGAAAAAGUCAACAAAUUGGGUGUGUGUGUGUGUGGCCAUGAAUGGAAUGGGAUGUAUUCCAACCAAAAUAAAUAAAUAUAUAGUCCUCUACCUUAUACGCCAACUCCUCCAGAGUUGUCCAAGGCUGUGUGCAUCAAAUUUUGUAAACACCAUCUCCUAAACUUAACUUAGAGUUGUAUUUGUAAUGCACCCAACUCUUUUCCCAAACACAUAGUUUAUAGUUUGUGUGUAUAUAUAUAUAGGUUUCAAUUGAUUUUAUGUCCAACCUCAUGAAUUCGCUAUCAAAAAUUGAUAUAAAUAAUAACAGAAGGUAUGAAAGUGAGAAGGGGGAUGGUUUUUAAAUUUUAAUUGUGAUUAAACAAAGGGCAUUGAAAAAGCAGGCUGUCAGAUUAUUGUUUAAAAUCUCACAACUUGCCUCCUUCACUAUCAUUUCAUUUUAUACACUUUUAAAAUCCACCUCAUAAAAACAUUUUUAAAAAGCUUCGUCAACUGCUCUAUUUUGAUUUCAAUAUUUUAACCAUUUGUAGGUAAAAAUAAAAAAUUGGUCGUUGGUACUACAAAUACUCCUAAACCUGAAUUAUGCUAAUUUAAUUUUAGCAGCAUUUUAUUUUAAUUAAAAAAUCUUUUACGUAGUUAAUAGUAUUGGGAAAAUAAAGUGACUGUGUUGGUUAAUGGGUGGAAUUAAUUUUUUAAAAAAUGGAGAUGAAGUCACAAAAAGACAACCUAAACAUCUUCUUCUUCCCUUUUGUUUUAUUUGUUUCAUUGAAAUAAAAAUAAAAUGCCACGCGUAUCACAUGGUACACCAACGUGAUUCAUAAUAUAUCAUAAAUAAUCCAUAUUUUUUUAUGUUUUUUAAGUUUUUAUUACACUUUCCUCGUCUAUGAAUGAUUUCUACUCCAAAUUUUAUCGAAUCUGAUUAUUUGGAUAUUGAAUUUUAAAGUUUGAGUUUUAGUUAGAUUAAGUUUUCGAAUUAUUUUUUAUUAAUUUAAAAUGUAUAAAUUGUCUACAACACAUUCACGUAAAACUCAAGUGUUACAUGAUAUCUAUGGUAGACCAUUGAUCAUAAUAUACCUAUAAAUUGAUUAGGGUGAGUCAACAAAUUUAUUGAACGUGAGACCCAAUCCAACUUUUAUAAUAAAUAGUUUAUGUUGUAUCUUCAAAUUGUUAGAUGAUUUAAAUAUAAUAUUAAAUAUUUGUAGGUAGGAAUGUGGAUGGAGAAAGAGAGUCAAAAUUGGUAAAUGUUGGAUAGAUAAGGAGGUUAUAAAAAGAGUGAUUUUGAGUUGAAAGAACAUUGAUUGUAUUUACAUUAGAAGGAUGGCAUUGGAUGGUAGUAUGGUGGAAACGGAGAGUAGCGGCAAAAACGUCCCACCGGUUGGUUGCCUACUCCUGCCCCCAUUGUAUUGUAUUCUAUUGUCCUUGGGAUUAAAGCAAAUUGAGGUUCCCGCCGUCUGAAGCCAACGAACCAAACUCAUAUUUUCUUUUUUAUUUAUCGCUAAUUUUCUAUAUAAAAAAAGAAAGAAAGAAAAUUAUUUUAAAAACGUCGUGCAGCUAUAAAUACGAAUAGGAAGUUGGUUGGGAAGGCAUUUAUUUUGUGCAGGCGAACCCAAUUCCCCAACUUUCAUCCUCCUCCUCCUCCUCCUUCUACUUCUAAUCCAAAGGUAACAACUCAAACUACUUCUUUUUGCUUGCAUUUCUCUGGAAUCAUUUUUUCUAGAUCUGUCACUGUGACUGCCUCUUUGUUUCCAUUAUCAAAUAUGGAAUGUUUUUAAACUUUCUCUUUCUUCUACCCACCAAAUCUAUGUGUCUGAUCUGCCUCUCUUCUUUCAAUCACUGCAGGCUUUACAAAAAUGGCUCGCAAGAAGAUCAGAGAAUACGACUCUAAGAGAUUGUUGAAGGAGCACUUCAAACGGAUCUCUGGUAGACAACUCCCCAUCCAAUCCGCUCAAGUGAGUCCUGCUUCACUCUUCUUAUAGAUCUCCAUAUUCUUAACAAUUUUCUUCUGCCUCAUUACCAUUAUAUUCACCUUCUUCUCUCUUGACGUUUCUUCUUCCCUUACACUCAACACAUUCACUGAUAAUUGUUUUUCUUCCUUUCUUUUUUCCUCUGGACAUUACCAAAUCUGAAGCCACUUUUGUUCACCCGUUUGAAUCCUUGGAUAUGUUAAAAGAAGUCUGAUCUAACGUUGCUUUCCCUGUCUCUGCACCACCACUGACUUGAAAUCUCUUUCUAUGCCUUCGUUAUUGAUUUAAUGACCAUAUUUAAAAUCUGGCUCAGGUCACUGAAUCAACUGAUUUCAAUGAGCUUGUUGAGAAGGAACCUUGGCUUUCUUCAUCAAAAUUGGUCGUGAAGCCCGACAUGUUGUUUGGAAAGCGUGGCAAAAGUGGUUUAGUCGCCUUAAAUCUUGAUCUGGCUCAGGUUGCUGCAUUUGUGAAAGAGCGCCUUGGGAAAGAGGUGUUGUUUUAUUUUCUUUCGUCUUUUGGAUCAAUCUGCUUUUUAUAAUUGUUCGUUUUCUCAUCAUCCCAUUCCAUUUCCUUCUCUCGCUUAUUGAUCCUUUUACUAUGCUAUUAUUCUCUUUCAUGACCAGGUAACAAUGGGUGGAUGUAAGGGACCUAUCACCACAUUUAUUGUGGAGCCCUUCAUACCGCACAAGGAAGAAUACUAUCUCAAUAUUGUCUCAGAGAGACUUGGGUGCAGUAUUAGCUUCUCGGAGUGUGGAGGAAUUGAAAUCGAAGAGAAUUGGGAUAAGGUAUUUUUUCUCUUGAUACUAUUUGGUGUUUUUAAUUAACAAUCUGUUAGGUUCAGGAAUUACUCUUUGUUUGAAUUCUAUCACCCCCAAAUUUUACUAAGCUUCAAUGGAAUUCUCUUUUGAAUCAGGUUAAAACCAUAUUUAUCCCCACAGGAGUGUCCCUCACUUCAGAAACAUGCGCCGAGCUGGUGGCAACCCUUCCUUUGGAGGUAAAUUUUCAUUGAUGAAAAUUGCUUUUCCUUUUUAGAGUUUUUUUCUCUGGUGAUACCUAUCACAUAGUUUACACUGACUCAACCAAGAGGUUAGAGGUUCAAAACCUCAUCGCCACAUAUUCUUCAACUAAAAAAAAUGUAUAUUAUAGUAUUCUUGACUACAUAAUUUGUGGAAGCCUAAAACUGCUUAAGACCUUACAUACACUAUAUACUUAUGAGGCUUUAAUUUAUCUGAAAUGGUUAUCUGUCACGGAAAGUCAAGAAACCCUUUGCAAGAUCAGAUAGUUAACAUAAAUUUGUUCUUCAAUCCAGAUCAAAGGAGAAAUCGAGGAGUUUAUCAAGGCAGUUUAUACCCUAUUCCAAGGUAUGCUAUUUUUUUUGGAUGUGAACUUAACUGCUAAAUUAUUGGUAGAUUAAAAAACUGAAGUUGUUAGUUUAAUAUCAAUAUAUUUCAAUAUCAUUAUUAGGCUUGUCUGUCUUGUCAUCUUGCUAAUCAUCACUAGACUAUAAUCCUGAAGUCUAGUAGUCCUAAAAAUAUAUGAAGUUAGGUUCGAGUAAAUCUAAUUACUUAUUUUAUUUCGUGAAUGGAUCAAUUAAGUCAAUUUUUUGUGAGACAGAUCUGGACUUUACUUUCUUGGAAAUGAAUCCUUUUGCGCUUGUUGAUGGGAAGCCCUAUCCUUUGGAUAUGAGGGGUGAACUAGAUGAUACUGCUGCUUUCAAGAACUUCAAGAAGUAUGUCUGACACCCUUGGUUAUAAAUUGCAUUACAUCCAUUGCUCGCGCAUCAAGUACAAGCGUAAUAAAUUAUAUUUUCUGAUAUGUUUUUGCCCUUGUAGGUGGGGAAGUAUUGAAUUUCCAAUGCCAUUUGGUAGGGUUAUGAGUCCCACUGAGAGCUUUAUCCAUGGCCUAGAUGAAAAGGUAAUGAACCUAUCUGUAGUUUUUUCUCCAUAUUUAUGAUGUCUUCCUUUAACAAUUCUUUUCAUUAGUCGACUGGUUUGUGUAUAUUCUUUUAUUCUGGAAAUUCAUGGAAAAUGUUUGAAUUCGAAAACCCUUUUUGGCGUAGAGCUAAUGAAUAAUGAUAUUUGAGGGUUUUCUGUUUUCUUACUGCAAGUUGUCUGUAUGUUGUCAGUGUUAAGUCUUCCGGACUUGCAAUUAUGAAAAUACGAUGGGUUGAAUUUUUCUUUUUUAAUGAACAAAGGGAAUGCUUGGGAAGUUGGAAUGGAAUCAGGAUCACUAGAAAUUAGAAGGGUGCUGAAAUUCAUGUCGAAUAGAAGGCAGAACAAAAAUAGGAUCGUAAAGCGUAAACAAAUGGAAAAUAGGGUUUAAUUGAAAACUAUAGGAAGGAAAUGAGUUUAGUAUUACAAUUUAGGCUCAAAACAGUCUAUCCAAACCUGAAUUUUGGAUUUCAUUCCAAUGAAUUCCAAUUCCAUUGCGGGUGCCCGAACACCCACUAGUCCCUUAUUCUUGUAUGGUAGUUAAUUUUUUAGGGAAAAUAGAUAGAAAAAAGCAGCCCCAAAAGGGUAUUCAGAUAAGAAAAGGACUCCAAUCAAGGAGAAUUAAGACCUAGGGAAUAAUUAAAAAAAGACUUUGUCACCGAAGAAGCAUAAAACCUAUUGGGUGACCAUAUAUCAUAAGGCCCUCUCUCAACAUGUGCAAAAUGCAUAAAAUACCUAAAUGCGAGUCCGUUUUCUAAGUAUGUUAGUUAUUUUAUUCAACACGUGCAAAUUGUGUUUUUUUUUUCUGAGGUUUGCAUGUCCUUGCAAAUCCGCUAGUUCAAUGCUUAUGUGACCAUCCUAAACUAAUUUCAUUCCAUUCAUUUCAUCAGCGAGUUUGCUGAAAUUUUACUUCAUACUGGAUCUAAUCUGCUGGAAUAAAAAUUUGUUAUAAACUAAUUGAAUCAACUAUUUUUAUUUUCAUCUAUGCAGACCAGCGCAUCUUUGAAAUUCACAGUUUUGAACCCCAAGGGACGUAUUUGGACCAUGGUGGCUGGAGGUGGUGCAAGUGUCAUAUACGCAGACACGGUAAGCUUUAAUUUGUCCACUCCAAUACUUGAGUUUCGAGAUUCAGCUUUCACUUCUAUUAUUUUGGUUUAUUGAUAGAAAAAUUCGUUUUGUAAAGGUUGGAGAUCUUGGUUAUGCCUCUGAGCUCGGAAACUAUGCAGAAUAUAGUGGAGCGCCUAAUGAGGAAGAGGUGUUGCAGUAUGCCAGAGUUGUUAUUGAUGUAAGCAUUGUUUAUUAUCAAGUUACAUGUGAUCAACAUAAUUAUCAUAUAGAAUACAAAUCAUGAGCAUGUCAAGAUACUCGAAUGUGUAAUUGAACAUCUUCUAUUUAUUGGAUGUAGAGGAUGAUACUUUCACUUCUGUUUCCUGUAGUGUGCAACUGCAGAUCCCGAUGGCCAAAAGAGAGCACUCGUGAUUGGAGGAGGAAUAGCGAACUUUACUGAUGUAGCUGCUACAUUUAAUGGCAUAAUUCGGGCCUUGAAGGAGAAGGUAAAGCAAUCUCUGUCCAGUUUCAGGUAGUCCAUUUUCCCGAUAUAAAGUAUUUUUGUACUGAUGGAUAGGCACAUAUUGUUGUUAUGACUCAGGAAUCAAGGCUAAAAGCGGCUAGGAUGAGUAUUUAUGUGAGGAGAGGAGGCCCCAACUACCAGAGAGGGCUUGCUAAGAUGAGGGCAGUUGGUGAAGAACUUGGUGUUCCCAUUGAGGUAGAGUGCAGACCAACUAUAUAUUGUUAAAAGGGCUUCAUAAAAACUGGUAUUGAGAAACCUUGGCUUUGUAAUACAGGUCUAUGGGCCAGAGGCAACCAUGACGGGCAUAUGCAAGCAAGCAAUUGAGUGCAUAACUGCAGCUGCAUAAAUCGGGAUACACCAUCCGCAUCGUUCUUGUCAUAGAUAUCUUAUAUUAUGUGUAGUUUUAUUCGCCUUUGACUGAUUUGUGGUGAUAGUUCGUCAAGUUUUUAAUAAAAAUCUCUAUCUGUGAUGUACCUUCGAACAAGGAUUUGAGUGAAUAAUGAUAAAGCAGAGGGGAUGGUAUGAAUUGAAUGUAGAUGCAAGAUGGGUGUAACGACUUGGGGCUAUUUUGUUUCUUUAUCAGUAUAAGCUCACUGCUUUUGUUACAUUUAAGAUGGUAGCUAUUCAAUCGAGUUCGUCAAUUUCUCGACACUCUUUCAACUAUAUUAAUGUACUGGUACUUAUCCCUGCUUCCAUUCCAAGUGAUAUUAUUUCUAUCUUCUACAAGUGUUAAUUUUUCCUUUUAAAACAAAUCCCUCUUCCUUUUGUCUAGAGACCAAGAAUUGUAUAAUUCACACUAAUCACUACUUCUCUUCUUAUCCUCCCACUCGGUAUCCCUCACCUAUGUUUGAGCUUGUGGAAAAGCUGAAGGCCGGGGAGAGCGGGUACCGUCUAUUCUACAUGCCCAUGAAUAUAAACGGAAAUUUUGUUUGUGUGGACAACCCCUAAUUUAGAACAAUGUAGAGACAUCAUUGAAGCAAGGCUAAGGAGAAUGCCGCUUGGGUUGUCCAAAAAGUGUGGUUCAACUUCGAUCGCAGUUGUGAAGAUGAUUAGAUUGAGUUGGAGAACCCCAAGGCCCAAAGGCCAUUAAUAGUACAUGACAUGAAUGACCCAUCCCAAAUCAAGUUUCCCACUUCUACGGCCCGCCCGCCCUUCCAUUUCUCCCAACCCACCGAACCAACGGGUUUUAUUAUUGUUUUUCUCUUUCUUUUUAAUUAUGUGGAGUAAGCUCAACGAACAUCUACAACUAUUUUUCAUAGAAAUUUAAGCAUGGUCUCCCUAGCAGUAGUAUUAGUAAAAUGAAAUUAUUAUAAAUUUGAGAAUUUGAGAUGGGUGAAUCGGAUCUUUCAAAGUAUGCCCUAGAAUGGGCCUACCACUGGCACUCCUUUCCAAUUUCCAUGGUUGAUUACCUGCAUUGAAAUAAAUAAUUUUAUUGAUAUUUUGGAUAAGACGAAAGAAUGUGAGGCGGUGGGUAAUGGUAGAGAUGGAUGGUGAUUGUUCAUUGCAUGACAUGCUCAUACAUAUCCCACCCCCAUCUACUAAUACUCUCAUUUUCUUCACCCCCAGUACUUCCAUUAUUAUUCUUUUUCUCUUUUAAUUCUUCUCAUCAUUCUUAUUACCAUAUUCCACCAAUUAUAUUUAUAACUGGUGAGAACAAACCAAGGGGAAUUAAUUAGGAUGUGGCUUAGAAGAUGAUUGUUUGGGACAUGGUGGACCAAUCACGCCAGCAGCUUAUUAUCAUGCUGUUCUGCGAGAGGGGAUGGACUCGAUCUUCAAAAGAUGUUCUCCAUUUGUCCAAUUCAAAAGUAAAUAUGUAAAGUGUGUGUGUGUGUGUAUAUAUAGUUUCAAUCAUGUUCUAAAAUUGUAUUUACUUUCAACUUGUUGGAAUAGAAGUACUGUUUCUUUUUAAUUAAUAUGGUUGAUUCUACAUAUUAUUGUAGAGGAUAUUUCAAAAAAUUUAAUUAUAAACAAUUUAGAUUAAGUUUGUUGUAAGGAGAUUAAAAUAGGAGAGAUGUUAGAAAGUUGUUUGUGUGAUGACUACCAUAUAUCAUCAUUGUAUAACCAACCAAUUUAAAAGAGGAAGAUAGAUUGAUGAGGAAAGAAAGAAAAGAAAAGUCAUAAUCAUUUUGAUAAGAAGAAAAAUAGAAACAAGUAGGAACCAGUAAAGUAGUAACACACUUAAACUUUCCCGUAAACAAUCAUGAUUGGAUAUUGCAAUAACGCUUCUCCCUAUGAGUAAAUAAUUAAAAGUUGUAAGUUUGUAUUAUAGUUAUGGGUUAGUAAUAGUAGAAGAAAAUGAAGAAGGUAGAGAAUGAGGGAGGAAAAGAAAAGUAAAAGGAAGGUGUAGUUUUGAAAGAAGGAGAAUGGAGUGAAUGGGACAGGAAAAGGGAAGGCAUGUGAGUGGAAAUAAUGGAAUAUAUUAAUAGAAAUAGAAUUUGGUAAUUUGGAUAUUUUAAUGGGAAAAAUAAAAAAAAUUAGAAAACCUGCAGCUGCAGUGUUUAUAAGCAUUAUUAUUAUUCUACGGAAUUGUGGUUUUCCCAAAGCAAACACCUCUGGCCUCUUCUCUUCACUCUUCACACCUUCCCUACACAAUAAUUCCCAUUUUUUCUUUUUCUUUUUAAUAAAUAAAUAUAAAAUUAAAAAAAGAAAAAGAAAAAAGGAGAUGAAUUUUUGAAAAGUGAGAGAGCAUAUUCAAUUUUCCCAAUGCGACAAAAAUACCAAAUGCAUCGGGAUUCUAUUCCACUUUAUGGCCUUUUAGUACCAAAUUAAAUAUAAUACACACUCUCUUCCUUAUUAAAUUAAUACUUCGCUCCCCCCCCCCCUUUCUAUUUAUUUAUUUAUUAAUAAUUACAAUUACAAUUAUUUAUUAAUUUAUUACGGGGAGUUAUCCUUUUAUCUCAAUUUCCCCACAAAUCUUUGUCUAUGCAAAAAACCCUUUCUCAUUUUCAAUUCCAGGAUACUGUUUUACUUUCAUAAAACUUGUUUAUAAUGCUACUAAGGAACUCUGUUUUCAUUUUCAAAGUUAUGCUAAUAAUAUGACAACCAGUUCAUACUAACACCUAUUCUAUAUAUAUAUAUAUUGCCAUUUGCACUGUAGAUAAAAGAAACCUGUGAACACCGGCCCCCACCACAAAAAUAACAUAACCAACUGUUUUUCUUUUCUUUAAUUAAUAAAUUGAACGGAAUUAUUUCGCACUGUUUUCAAAGGGAAUAUACAUGUGUAUAUAUAAAUAUCAAUUUAUAUGUUUAUUAGUUUUUUUCUCAGUUUAAUUUAUAGGUAUCUCUUUUCCUGUUGCCAUAUAACAAUUAGUUUGGUUAGAUGAAUAAGUGAUAGAGUUUAGGUGGGUGAUUUGUGUCAUUCAUCUCAUUGUAUUUCCGAGUGUUUAUGGAAGACGUAAAUUAAAACAAGUAAGGUAUGGUGUUGUUAAUUAAAGGUUAAUUUUCGAAUAAAAUGAGAGCACGUUUAAUUUCUGUUGGGUUGCUAAAAAUAGUAUAAAAUAAUAUGAAACACAGGGAUGGGGAUUGUACUUUUUAAUUUGGAGGGGUGACCCACCCAAGAACCAUGAUUCUUAUACGAAAUUGAAUAAGAUUCUACUACAUGUUGGAUUAUUAGUGAUGACCCUCCCCCCUAUAUAUAUUAUGAGAUAUGUAUUUGGGCAUUUGGUAUUUGGAUUGAAAGCUUCCUUAAAUAGGGCUGGGUUCCAGAAAGAAAAAGAAUUGAAAAAAGAGUUAGGUUUUGGUUUGGUUGGUUUGGUGUGGGCAUCAUAAUAGAGAAUAGAGAUUCCCAUCACAGCAUCCAACCAACCAACUAAAUGGAAUAACACACAAAACACUCUCGCACGCACACCACAGCCUCACCGCUCCCUUUGGUUAUAAUAUUGUUUUAUAUUUUUUCUAAUUCCACAAGCAAUAAUAAUAAAUAAAAUAAAGGAGAGAGAGGAAUGAGUAAAAUUACCAAUGCUCCUUAGGGGGUGUAGUGUAGAAGGGACCCCCUGCUCUCUACCAAUAUUCCCUUUUUUUAACUGUAACUCUUUCUCUCUCUCUCUCUCUCUCUCUCUAUUAUGUAAUAUUAAACUAAUCUGAAAUUGAUAGUUAGUUAGAAAUAUAAUUUUAGAUGGAAAAGAGGGAGAAAUAAAAAAAAAAAAGAAAAAAGAAGAAGAAGAAGAAAAGAACAUGUUUGAAAUGGCCUGGAGAGAGGGAGUGAAGAAGAAGAUGAUGAACAUCAUAAGCAUUAUUUGUAAAAGUUGAAGAGAGAAGGAAACGAAAAGAAAGACAAUGGGAGCACGUGACGUGAGCUGCCAAAUACACACUUUGCUUCUGCACUCCCAGCCAACACAUCGGACACCCAAAUACCAAUACCCAUACCCAUACUCUCUUUACCCACAAUUCUUCUUCCCCUCCCCCACCUAAAUCCCCAGUAUCCAUCCUUUCAUUCCAAUCCAAAUCUUUCUUUCUUUCUUUCUUCCUUUUUUUCUUUCUUUUCCCCCCUUCAUUUUCCCCUCUUUUUUUCUUUUUACCUUUUUCGAAAAAGCUGCCUGCCUGCCUGGGCCUGCCUCGUGCCUCCUAUUAUUUUCUUCUUUUCUUUUUUCAAAUAAAAUAAAAAUAAAAAGAAAGAAAGAAAGAAAGAGGUUUGAUGAUAUGUGUGUGUAACUGGGUUUACUUACAUCUAUGUAUCUGUAUUUGGGGCGAACCUCGGCUGUUUCUCGCGGACUCUGUUUAUUUGUUCGGUUGUGGUGUGCGGAAGCGGAAGCAAAAGCAGCAGUAACAGAGCAAGAGUUGAGUGGGUUUUACUGAACCCCCCCAAGCCAAGGCGCCUUUUUCUUCUCAAGCAAGACUCACCAACAACAAACAAAAACUAGAUUUCAUCAUGCCAAUUCUGGCCUCCCCAUUCUCAACUCCUAUACUAUCUAUCAUAUUCCUCAUCCUCAGAUCUCUGGGAUCUCACACUUUCAACUUCUACCUAUUACCUCUCUUUUCCUAAACACCCAACUCCUCACCUUUCUGGAGACCCAAUGUCUUCUCCACUUCUGCUUUUUCUUCAUACAUCCUCCCACCCGCUCCACUGACUCACUAUUUACUCAACCCCUAAUUACUUGUUAAUGGAACCACAUUUUCUGUUUUCCAUACCCCUUUUUCUUCUUUUCCCACUCCUCCAUCUUGCUUCUGCUACGCUGUCUCCUUCUGGUGUUAACUUUGAAGGUUAGUUUCUCCCUCCCCUUCUCCCUCCAAUUCUUUUCUUUUUCUUUUUCUUUUUCUUUUUCAUUCUCCAACUUUCAAUUCUUUAUGGGAAUUUCAAUUUCAAUUUUAACAGUCGUAGCGUUGAUGGCCAUAAAAUAUGAUUUAUUAGAUCCCCACAAUGUUCUGGAGAACUGGGAUUCUAAUUCUGUGGAUCCUUGCAGCUGGAGAAUGGUCACCUGUUCUCCAGAUGGAUAUGUUUCUGUUUUGUAAGUCUUCUUAUUCCCAUUAUCUCCUUUUUCCACAUUUUCUGUCACCACUUGUCAUGUCAAAACUCCUAUUUAUUAUUUUGGGUUUCUUUCUUUCUUCUUAAUCUUAUUUAUGAACAGGGGGCUACCUAGCCAGAGUUUGUCCGGGGUCUUAUCACCUGGGAUUGGAAACCUCACCAAGUUGGAAUCUGUGUAAGCUUCUCCAUUCUGCUUACUCCCCACUUACUGUGUAUACAUUUUCUAUCCAACCAUAAUAAUUCCAUUUGCUAUUACAAAACAUACGUAGGUUGCUUCAGAACAAUGACAUUUCAGGACCAAUUCCUGCAACCAUCGGAAAGUUAGAGAACCUCCAGACUCUUGAUCUCUCCAACAAUUUAUUUAGUGGCCAAAUACCCAGUUCCCUCGGAGACCUGAAGAAGCUGAAUUAUUUGUAAGUUUUGCACGCUUUCUUAGCUUUUGGUUGAAUGAUUCAUUCUGAUCUUUGUCAACUGCACAUUAUUUUUUGAGCAAGGCAGGCGACUGAAUAACAACAGCCUAACUGGACCUUGUCCUGAAUCUCUAUCCAAAGUUGAAGGUCUCACGCUCGUGUAUGUUCAUUUACUUCUGUAUACCACAUCUCUAUUUUGUGGUUUAAUCCGGUUAAUGCUAUUUGGAAGAAAUAUAUAUUCACGUUUUUAGUUGAACUAAUAGGGACCUUUCAUACAACAACUUGAGUGGCUCCUUACCCAAAAUAUCAGCAAGAACAUUCAAGUAAGUUAUUUUCUUUCUUGUAUUUUCAAAUUCAUAUCAUUUUGAUUAAGUGAAAAAAAAAUCUCAAAGUCUCAAAACCUCAAGUACUGUGUCUUUUGUUCAGGAUUGUUGGUAACCCUCUGAUCUGUGGUCCAAACAACUGUUCUGCUAUCUUUCCAGAGCCAUUGUCGUUUGCCCCAGAUGCUCUUGAAGGUAUAGGUCUCAUGACAUCUAUUUGUAUUUGUAUUUGUAUUUAUUUUGAUUUGUUACCGUAACUUACUGGAACAUGUUUUUGAUUGCUUGGGUUCUUUCUCCUCAGAAAAUCUGGGGUUUGGUAAGAGCCACCGCAAGGCAAUUGCUUUUGGGGCAAGUUUUAGUGCUGCAUUUAUUGUUUUAGUCCUUAUUGGACUACUUGUCUGGUGGAGAUACAGACACAACCAGCAGAUUUUCUUUGAUGUAAAUGGUAAAUCUCCUCUCUACUCCUUAUUAUUGGCAUUUUGGUUUGUGACGGAUUAAGUAAUAUUUUAUCAAGCAGGAAACGAUCUUGUUUGCUUCUCGUGUAAUACGUUUGAAAUUCUUAUUGGACUAAUAUAACAUUAAUGGAAAACAGAUCAAUAUGACCCAGAGGUACGGUUGGGUCAUUUGAGAAGGUACACAUUCAAGGAACUUAGGGCAGCAACUGAUCACUUUAACCCUAAGAAUAUCUUGGGAAGAGGUGGGUUUGGAAUUGUGUACAAGGGAUGCUUAAAUGAUGGGAGUCUGGUAGCGGUUAAAAGGCUGAAGGAUUAUAACACAGCUGGUGGGGAGAUCCAAUUUCAGACUGAAGUAGAGAUGAUAAGCUUAGCUGUACACCGAAAUCUCCUCAAGCUUUUUGGCUUUUGUUCUACUGAGAGCGAAAGACUUCUGGUUUACCCUUUCAUGCCCAACGGCAGCGUUGGAUCUCGUCUAAGAGGUUUGUUGCUUUCGUAGGUUUGAUUUUGAUAGAAAAGAUGAAUUGAUAUUUCUAUUACAUCUUACGAAAAUAAACACAUGUUUAUUUAUUUAUAAUUUUUCUAAAAAUUUGCAUUGACAUUGCAACUUCACUGAAAUUAAGACUUUGAUAUAUCAAUUAAUAUCCAUAUUUUAAAUCUCAGUUAAAACAUGAAAUUCCACCAAAUUUCACAAACUUCCAAAGUAAAAUACCAAAGCAAAUCACUACUAAAAAAAGCUCACAUUUAUAAAUUCAUCCAAUUAUCAGCUUGCGUUAAUAGUUAAAUACAAUUUUUAUUUGUCAAUUAACUAUAUGUUAAUUACAACAAUAACUACAUAAAUAGGUUGUGGUUAAUAGUCAAAUAAAUUAAGACUGUGGUUUUACUAAGUUUAGGUUUUAAUUUUGGUUUGUGAGAAAUUGGUGUAAAAUUUGGAUAAACUUUUUCAAUAGUUUGGGGUAUUUUUGAAACAGCUUCGUCCAAAACUUUAAAUCUUUUUAAAAGUAUUUUUUUUUGGUUAAGUUUAGGGAUAUUUUUUUUACACAAACUACAAAGUUGAAGACAUUUUUUUGUGAUUUAAUGUAUUUAAUAGUAGCAAAUUUCAUAGUAUUAAACCAACGUGGUAAUCCCCAGUUACAAAUGAUGCUAAACUGGAAGGUUUCAAGAUUUGUAUGUUUUCUUAGAAAGGGGAAUUUAGUAUUGGUGGAUGUUUCAUAAUUUUCAAAUCCUUUGUUUAUCAGAUCGUAUCCAUGGGCAGCCGGCUCUAGAUUGGGCAAUGAGAAAGAGAAUAGCCUUGGGCACAGCUAGGGGAUUGGUAUACUUGCACGAGCAGUGUGACCCCAAAAUUAUUCAUCGUGAUGUCAAGGCCGCCAACAUUCUCCUUGAUGAAGACUUCGAGGCCGUCGUAGGAGACUUUGGGUUGGCCAAACUUUUGGAUCACAGGGAUUCUCAUGUUACUACAGCGGUGCGUGGCACUGUUGGCCAUAUUGCCCCAGAAUACUUAUCAACGGGCCAAUCCUCAGAAAAGACUGAUGUUUUUGGGUUUGGAAUCUUGCUUUUGGAGUUGAUUACUGGUCAGAAGGCUCUGGAUUUUGGUCGAGGAGCAAACCAGAAAGGCGUGAUGCUCGAUUGGGUAACUAUUCUUUAAUGCUAUACUCGUCUUAACUCAACAAAUUCAAGGGAAAUAUUGUCUUAUACAAUUCAUUCCACUAUUUCAAUGGAUAAAUCUAAUCUUAUGCACUAGACACCCGCAUGUUUGGCUUCUUGGCUCUUGUAUUGUUUUUGAUUAAACAAAGCAAUAUAUUUCUGGUGGAAUGGAGUUUUUUUUAUCUGAAUCUUUCUUUUUUAUUUUAAUAUAUAGGUGAAAAAGUUGCAUCAGGAAGGGAAGCUGAAUAUGAUGGUGGAUAAAGAUCUAAAGGGUAACUUCGACAGAGUUGAGUUAGAGGAAAUGGUCCAGGUUGCCCUGUUGUGCACUCAAUUCAAUCCUUCUCACCGACCCAAAAUGUCUGAAGUGUUAAAAAUGUUGGAAGGCGAUGGUUUAGCUGAGAAAUGGGAAGCAUCACAGCACAUUGAAACGCCAAGAUGUCGACCGUGUGAGAAUCCACCUCAACGGUACUCAGAUUAUAUAGAAGAAUCUUCUCUUAUUGUAGAAGCGAUGGAGCUUUCAGGCCCCAGAUGACAGCCAUCAUUUUUCUUUCCUUUGUAAUUCCCUCUUACAACAUUAACUUGCAGUUGAAGAGAAAAGAGUGAGUGGGCGUUGAUAGCGUUGGUGUAAUUCUUCUGUAAAAAAGAAACAAGAGAAAGAGUAAUGCUAAGCUGUUUGUUGAAGCCUACGCUUAGAGGUUAACUUCUUAGUUCUGGCUUAUGGAACGACAUGUCCUUUGUCCAAUUAUUUAGUGUCCACUCAAUCAAUUUAUUCAGCCAAACCCCAGCUGGUGUGUAUGUUAAAAGAAAAAUAAAGCUCAUUGAGACGUCCAACCUGCUUGUAGAUACGAAAAUUUCUAAAGUGAUAGACUUUUAUCAUCGAUAAAUUUUUAAAGUAUACUUGAAGUCAUAUUGGCAUUAUUCACAUUUUUGUUUAGUUUCAAUAAAUAAUAAAAAUAGAUUCUUGAUGCUUAUGUCAGUAGUGACAUGCUGCUUUCACAAUGGAUAGUCUUGCAAUGGAUAGUCUUUUAUCAUUUGAAUGAUUGUGAAAUGGUAUAGGUUAAGAUGUUUAUUGAAUUUUAAAGAAGUUGCAGCGUGGAGAUAUAUUUGUUUAAUUCAAUGUAUUAAAUGAUUGUAAUUAAAUAUAUGAAGAUUUUGUUAAAAUUUGAAUUGCAUUCCCACUCUAACGUUUUUGUUAACCUCUAAACUCUUGUUCAUCACCUACUUCACUCCCUACUUUCUUGGAUCCCUAUGAUUUUUAAUGUCAAAGGCUGUGAGGAAUAUUUCUGUUUGUGGUCUUCAUCAUUUUCCUCCAUCUCUUUUUGGACUUAACUCCCUCUAUUCUUCCUCUUGGCAUGUCCUUAAAUUCCCAAUGCUAUUGUAUUUGUAUAUAAUUCCCUCACGUUCCAUUUUAACUUUGGAUUCAUCGUUUCGUUUUGUUUCAUUUCUUUUAUGGCAUCUAUAUAUAUAUAUUGAUUUGUAUUUGGUUUGGCAUUGAAGUUAUCAUUUUUGUUUUGAUGCAUAUGUUAUUUUAAAAAAUGUUAAAUAAUGAUUAUAAUUUAUAUAUAUAUAUAGGGGGAUGGAUAUGUUAAUGCAUUUUCUAUUAAUAAGAAAGAGAGAAAGAGAGAAAGAGAGAAAGAGAAAAAGAAAAAGAAGGGUUAAUAAAUUAAAUGGGUUUGGAAGUGUGGUGUUAUGAAUGUGUGUCUCCGGUGUGGGAUCUCCCUGUUUUGGCGUUGUUAAAAAAGUACUAAAAUAGAAAGCAAAAAAAUUUCUCUGACUUCGUGAUGAACCACAACCACCUUUAAAACUCAUAUUCCCUCCCCCUCCCCUUUCCAUUCCAAUUUUAAUAAAGAAAAGGUUUUGUAAUUUUAAAGGCAUUCCUCCCUUCCUUUCUGUUUAUGCCAUGGACCCCAGGAAACUUGGAUUCCCCGAGCAGAUUCUAUCUCCGAGGAGAAGAGUUGUUCCUGGAUUUGGUCUUGGCAUUUCCCUUUCUCUUAUUGUUCUUAGCUUUCUUUUGCUCUACACUUCUUCUCACGGCAAAUUUUUCUUCUCUCUUUAUGAUCAACCCCCUUCCGUUGAUUCUCUCUUUUCUUCUUGGUCUUUCUCUUUCUCUUCUCCUUCCUUCUCUCCUUUCACUCCUAAUUCCUCCAACUUGCCCACCUAUGAUGAUCCUUCCCUCCCUUCCCAAUUCCCCCCAUUUCCCAAUCACACUCAUCGUCACAACAAUGCCACCCUUCAACUCAAUCCCCAUUCCCCCAAUGCCUCUCUGUUUCCUCCAAAUGCAACUCUUUUCGACAUCCCAGAGUUGGACACCCAACACAAUUUCCCCCCCUCUAACUCCACUUCUUUGAACACCAAUACUACUCGAUAUCCUAAGGACACCAAUCAUUCUUCCAAUGCUCAGGGCAAUAUGCCAUCACAACCCAAUGGUGGUGCCACAAAUUCAAGCCACACAAUUGAAAUUUCCAACAACACUCAGCCCCUGCUAACAUCUGAUGACAGUUUUUACGAGGAUUGUGAUAUCUUCGAUGGUGAAUGGGUGAGGGAUGAUUCAAAGCCAUAUUAUCCUUUAGGUUCUUGCCCUUUCAUUGAUAGGGACUUCGAUUGUGAUCUUAAUAAAAGGCCAGACGAUGGAUAUGUGAAAUGGAAAUGGCAGCCAUAUGGGUGUAACAUUCCAAGGUAUUACAUUAACCUGAUCCCAAACCACCCCCCCCGAUCCUUAAUUUACAUGCAUCAUUAGGUUUGCUCCAUGUGAUAUUCCUAUUUCAUAAUGCAUGCAACAUAUAUGAGAUGCAUUUUGAGGUUACGAACCACUGUCCUAAUACCUCUUUUGAACACUGCUUCUUUUACAGUCUGAAUGCAACACAUUUUCUAGAGGUGUUGAGAGGAAGGAGUCUGGUGUUUGUUGGGGAUUCAUUGAAUAGGAACAUGUGGGAGUCUCUCGUCUGCAUUCUUCGUCAUAGUGUAAGCGACAAGAAAAAAGUGUAUGAGAUAUCCGGAAGGACAGAGUUCAAGAAGAAGGGCUUCUACGCCUUCCGUUUCGAGGCAGGAUUUCCUUGGAUGUUUGUUUAUUUAUUCUCUCCAUUGUCCAAAGUUUUAAACACAUGUUUGUUAUUUUUGGAACGUUUUCAACUCAUCUUUCCGUUUUGUUGUAUCUGCAGGACUACAAUUGUUCCGUGGAUUUUGUUAGUUCUCCAUUCCUAGUUAGGGAGUCUUCGUUCAAAAGAAAGAAUGGAACCAUCGAGACAUUAAGAUUGGAUCUAAUGGACCCAACAACCGAAAUGUAUCGGGAUUCCGAUGUUUUGGUCUUUAAUACAGGCCAUUGGUGGACUCAUGAUAAAACAUCGAGGGGGUAUGUAUUGUACUCAUCAUUUUUUUUCAAUCCAACCUCUUGGGGAGAUUGUGCUCCAUUACAUUUCUCUUUAGCUUGAAAUUCAUCUGGACUUACCUCGCAUAAUAUCUUGCCAUGAUGCAUCACCAUUUGUAGCAGUUUUCGGUUGUUGAAGCUGUUUUUGUUUUCGCUUCUAUUUCAGAGAAGACUAUUACCAAGAAGGUAACCAUGUGCACUCAAAACUCAAGGUGUUGGAAGCGUUUAAGAGGGCUCUCACCACUUGGGGUCGAUGGAUCGACAACAAUGUUGAUAAAAAUCGAACUCUGGUUUUCUUCAGAGGGUAUUCAUAUUCUCAUUUCAGGUAUACAAAUUUCUCUUGUUUUCUUGCUUCCAAACUAAAUAUUGUUAUAGAUAUAUGAUUUAACAUGGAGAAUAUGCUACUAGUCCAAAAUGAACGAACAAUAUUAUUAAUUUAUUGGUUAUUAUUAUUUUAAUGAAUUCAUCACGUUCAGUGCAAAACAUCACAUUGAAAAGGGUCUGUCUAUUCUCGUUCUAGUAAAAACUAAAUGAAUGAAGAUGAACUUGAACUCCCAACUUUUUUUUUCCAUUAAUGCUUCCAGUGGUGGCGAGUGGAACUCUGGAGGGCAAUGCAACAUUGAAACGGAACCAAUUUAUAACAAAACACACUUGGGCAAAUACCCUAAGAAAAUGAGGGCUCUGGAAUAUGUGAUUCAGGAGAUGAAAACGCCAGUGUCAUACUUAAACAUAACCAGGCUCACUCACUAUCGGAAGGACGCACACCCUUCAAUUUAUAGAAUGGAGUACAAGACAGAAGCAGAAAAACGUGCAGGCCUGCGAGUUCAAGAUUGUAGCCAUUGGUGCUUGCCCGGGGUACCUGAUACUUGGAACGAGCUGCUUUAUGCAUCUGUUUUAAGGAUGGCAAAGAGAUAUUGGAACAACUAAGGAAGAUUUGUACAUCACCAUGUGAUGUGAAAUGAUCGCAUAACCUUUUUUCCAUAUCUUUUUUUUUUGUAAUUUGUUCUUUUUGUUGGGUUUUGGGGUAAAGAUAUAUAUCAAUUCUUGUUUAAUCGCUUAGGUCCCGAGCAGCAGCAUGGUGCAUGCUCAUGUGGAGGAAACUACAUGUUGCUGACUUAUAGAUUGCCUGAGUUGUGCAAAUGUAGAGCCAACAAUGAUCAUAUGUGUAUGUGUAUUCUGUUAAUCCAAUUUAUUUAGAAAUAGAAAUAUUUUUUUGGGUAUAAACUUGCAGUUCUAGUGGAUGUUUGGCAUAAGUAAUUGCGACAUCUAACAAAAGAAAGAGAAAGAGAUAAGAAAGUUUCAUUUCAUUUUUAUUGAAUUGUAGUGAUCGUAGUUGUUGCAAAGAAACAUAGUAAGAUAGGAAGACGACCCUAUAAACUGGACUCAGAAGAGUCCACGCCGUUUCGUGACUUGCCGGUUUGCCAAAGCAGAAUCCAAAAGCCAAGCAGAGAGUAAGGCAUGGCUGACGGGUUAAGCCCAGGAAUAUGAGGAGGAAGGUGAGAGAUUGGCAUUGGCAUUGUAUUCUUUCACCUGAUCUCCAUUAGCUUUUCUUCAAGGCCUGUGGUGGUGGUCCAUAAACCACAGCCCCACAGCCUCUCUCUCAUUCAACACUUGAGCUCUCAAAAAAGCUAGAGGGAGAAGCUGCCUUCUUCAUUCUGGGCUUUAAAUACACAACCCAACUGUUACCCCCACUGCCAUUAUAAUACUCUCACCACCCAUCUGUUGCUAUUCCAAGCUGGAUAAGCUUCAAGUUUAAGGAUUUGGAAGUGGAAGUGGAAGGGGAUUCAAUUUUUGGUGGAACUUCCAAUUCCAAUUCACACAUCACAAAAAUUAAUGCUUGACUCAGCUUUACAUUAACAAACACCUCUCUUCAAUAGACAAUACUUGUUUGAAGAUUCCCCUCUUUAGUUGACUAUCUUGUUUGAGUUAAACAAUAAUUAUAAAGUGGAGAAUCAAAUGGUUGAUUUGACCACAAACACAUAUAUAUAUAUGUAGACAAUAGAAAAAGGGUAAAAUAUGAAAUUUGGGUGGAAGAAG
rnacentral:lncRNA from 1 species